UAGGGCAUUAGUUGGAGAUGUGAAGGAGCAGGUUAUGGCAUCAUUUAGAAAUGUGAAGGAGCUUAUGGCCGCUGGAAUCCGCAUCAAGCCUAGUCCUACACAUCAUUUGAGGGACAUUUCUUUCACUUCCAAUUGCGUCACUGCAUGCCUCAGACUUCCUCCGAUCACCAUUGAUAAGUCAACCAAGACAUUGUUCUUCAACUUGAUAGCCUAUGAAAUGAGCUCAGACGUUGACCAUCACUUCAUCUCUUACCUUCGCUUCCUUGAUUCCCUCAUUGAUCAUGCUGAUGACGUUAAGGAGCUGCAGUCCGCCGGGGUACUCCAAAACAAUCUAGGCACUCAUGAAGAAGUGGCUGAAUUUUUCAACACUGUGUCCGCCGACUUGGAAUCAAACUUUCUUGCUUACAAAGAUGUGAGAGUCAAGAUUCGGAACCACCUUAAAAGUCACUAUAACAGCAGACUGAAAAUGUGGAUGACACAAUGCCUGGACACCUACUUCGGUAGCCCCUGGACUAUCAUAGCUUGGGUUGGUGCUGCUUUGGCCCUUUUCUUUACUGCCGUCCAGACUUACCUCUCAGUCUUCCCUCAUUGAUGCAUGCAUGCCCUGUUUUCUCGCUAUCUAUUGAGUGCUUCUGCAUUUUACCUAGCCCAAAUUCAUGGCCUCCAUAUAACCCUUUGAUGGUUGCAAAGUAAAUUAGGCAAAGAGUCAUUGGUCUCGUUUCUUUUCCUUUUUCAGCGUAUUUUCUAUCUUCCUUUCCGUGUGUAAAACAAGUAAAAAAGGAAUGUGUGCUGUGAUCUUAUUUUAGUGUAUUUUGUGCCUAUGUAUGCAUCAGUAAUAUUAUGUUUUAUUUAAGUAACUAAAAAUAGAUAUGGGUGGACUAUUUUUCUAUUUUUGGAUCCCUGUUAAUGUAUUAUGUUAGGUUGGCAAUUUUAUUCAUUGAUGUUUUAGUCGGAUACAACUUAUUUCCUCAAAUCUUAAUGGUUGUGACCGAGUUCAUCAGUUCGAUACGAGGUAAGUGUUUGAAGAAGUAGAUACAGCAAUGAAAACUUAAAAUAUGAAAAACAAAAACAAAAAAGCAAAAGCAAAACAAAGUGAAAGUGGAGAAAAACCUGGCUGGAAUGUACGAAAUUCAACAGAUGCAAGUGUCAUUUAUUCAUUUUUAUUUGAGAAAAAAUAAAAUAUUAAAAAUAUUCUUAGAAAUCUAUUUAUCAAUUUUUUAUUAUAAUUUUUUUCUUGGAUUUCGUACAAAAUAUAUCAAAAGAAUUGAUAUUAGCUUCCAUGAACUUAUCUCAAAUACCAUUUUUGUGGCGAAGAAGCUUCCAACAAGUGGAUCUUUUCUGAAGAAAAUAAAGGGAAGAAGCCGUGGAAUAGAAUAACGGGGAAUGGUAUUUAUGUUAUAUUGAAGGCAAUUAAUGGAUGGAUGUAUUGAUAUGAUUUUUAUCUUCUUGGUUGAUUGUGUAAAUAGAAUGAUUGUCUAGAGAAUUUAUUAGGUGGAAGUAAAUAUGAAUUCUCUUCAUCUCAAAGGGAGUAGUAUUUUUUGGUGAAAAAGAGUUUAGUAAUUUAAUCAUUUUACAAAAAAAACAUUUUAUUUUUCUUUUUUAUUUUUAAGAUGAUAUUAGAAAGUUUGAAUGUAAUGUUUUACAUUGGAUAUAUGAGAAAAUUGGGUAUCAAUCCCUUACUCCGGUAUGGGAGUUUGUUUGGUUCUAUAAAGGGUAUUUAUUUGUUUCGUCCAACAAUCUCAUAGGAUACAACAAAGACAUUAUAUUUAUAUGAGGAAUGUUUGUAAUGUUUCACAAUGAAUAAAAGAGAAAGUUCCUAAGAUUAUAUAUGUAUGAGUUUCUUUUAAUUUUGUAAACGUGUUUUAGAGUCUUAAAUGUCUUAUUGGACACAGAGCAAAUAAUAUUUAUAUGGUUAGAUACAAGUCAUCACAAAUGGUUUAAAAGCUAAUCAUUUUUCUUGGUGUGGGAGUUUGUUUAGUCCUAUGAAGCAUUUUUGUCUAUUUGACCAUAUAAUCUCAUGAGACAUGUGGUUAUGUCCCAUAAACAAAAAUUUGAAGUGAAAGAAAUGAUCUCUUGAAAAAUAUUUAAGACACUUUAAAUAUAUAUAUAUGACAAUCUCGUUGUAAUCAAAAGUCAAUUUCAAACCAAGACAAAAUUUGUCGAUUUGUUCAUGGUUUAAGAUAAAGGUAUGAAUUUUUUUUUUCACCUACUAUACUUUUCUAGCCAAUUUAUAGUAGCUUUUCAAAGACAUAAGCAAUCACUCACUACCAAAAAAAAAAAAAAAAGAAAAUGUUCUUAAAGCAUGCAUAAUUUUUUAUUUGGACGACAUUGUAAUGAUCAAAAUGGUUGAGAAAACAAAAUUUUCAAUUUGAUGGGAAGGGGUUUCAUCCUUUUUAUGUGUUACAAUUCUUAAAAAAUAAAAAAUAAAAAAUACUUUCGUGUUUUUAUGAAGUCCUUGUCAAAGGAUGUCUUUAUCAUGUUUUAAGACAAGUUGGGACUAUAGACAGUUAUUGGCAUUGGCCAAAUAACCAAGAAUUCUUGAUACUUGUCCCAUACAAGUAUAGUUUUCUAAGUUGGGUUGAUUUUUGUAAACCACAACUCUUCAACCCAGUAAAUGGCGUUAAAUAUAAUGUUUGGAGGUUGGUCAUCUUAUGAAGACCCAAAUCACCACCAAAGCAACUCUCCAUUUUCGGUUGGCUUAAGAUCUUACUGUCAGGAAUGUAUAGAUGUUUCAAUUGGUACAACUUCCAAAUUGAACAUGGAAUCACGGAAGAACUAUGGCGUACCUCUAGAAUCUAUAGGUUAAAGAGUUUGCCUAUAGACCAUGAAAAACUUUUAGUAGAACGUGCACUCUCGACAGAAAAAUAUUUGUAGAUCUUUUCUGACUUCAAGUAGUGUUAGGUCUAACACUGUUAGCAAUUUUGUUCUUAAGCAAGGUAUCAAAUUUACUUGAGAAAGAUCAAUAGAACAAAUCAAAGAUCGGAGGAGGCGGCAGGUAUGCAAAUGUUUGAGAAAUAUUUUUUAAGUCAUGAGCAAUAAGUCGACGAGGGUUAAAAGGGCAUGCAAGGAUGAUGUUUCGGUGUACCUCAAAUUUUUUUGAAUCUUUGGCUUUUGAAAUAGCAAGGUCGCGAAGGAGAUCAUGGAUACGACAAGACUUUACUCUUCCAUCCCAUUUUCUUCUGGCCACCUGAAUCAUGCUUCUAUGAAUCAACUCUUCUAAAUAAUCCUCAGCAACGUCUUCCACCAUUUCUUCACCCCUUUGUACAAAUCCCUCCGUAAUCCACAUUUGGAGCAAUUUGUUUGCCUUAAUUUCACAAUCUUCCGGAAAAAUACCACAAUAGAGAAAACAAGACCUCAAGAAAUAAGGCAAGUCACUAUAGCUCAAAGCAACAAUUCCCAAGCAUGAGUUGGGGCCUUGACUUAGAUUUCCACUCCAUGCUUUUUAGUAUUUUCUCCCACGAAGAUUUAGACUUCUCUUUUCUUGAUAGAAGCCCUCCUGAUACCACAAUGGCUAGAGGUAAGCCUUUGCAUUUCUUUAUAAUCUCAUUUCCCAUACCUUCAAACUCUACAAGACAAACAACUGGUGAUGUACUUGCAGUUGGAAAAGUUUUCUUGAGAAAGGGCAUCCAACUCUCUUCUGGACAUAAAGGACGGAGUUCAUAGAGCUGUGCAUGGGCAUCCGAAGCAAUUUGUUGGUUAUGUGUGGUGAUGAGCACUCUGCUCUUGUUUGACUUAUGCUAAACUUGGAUGCUCUAUACAUCAUCCAACACUAUCAAAUACCUUUUAUCUUUGAGGUAACCAUUAACCUCUUUCCCCAAUUGAUCCUCAACCAUUUUAUAUUACCUUUAAAAAUUAUUUAAAAUAGCCUUAUGUCACGGACUUAGUCUUUUCCUAAUUAAGCUUGUGCGGCACUUAGACAAACUAAGACCCUUGAUCUUGCUAAGUCAGUCUUACUCUCAAUGCUUAGCUUGCUAGGCUAAGACGCUCACUACUCGGAAGUUUUAGAAGGUAUAGUAGGCAACUCUUAUAGAAUGAAAGCUUUAUUGCUUUCAAAUGAAGCUAUACAAUGCUUAGAAGCUCACUUGCUUGGUUAGGAAGUGAUAUUGAAGCUUUAUUACUUUACUGCCGUCUAGACUUACUUCUCAGCCUUCUCUCAUUGAUGCAUGCAUUCCCUGCUUUCUUGCUAUCUAUCGAGUGCUUCUGCAUUUUACCUAGCCUAAAUUCAUGGACUCCACAUGACCCUUUGAUGUGCAUAGUAAAUUAGGCAAAGAGUCAUUCGUUCCGUUUCUUUUCCAUCUCAGCAGAAUGAAUGGGUGCUGUGAUCUUAUUUUGGUGUAUUUUGUGGUUAUGUACGCAUAGGUAGUAUUAUGUUUGAUUUAAGUAACUAAAAAUAGGCAUGGGUGGACUAUGUUUUCUAUGUUUGGAUCCCUAUGAAUGUAUUGUAUUAGGUUGGCAAUUUUUUUUUAUUGAUGUUUUACUCCAUGCAACUUAUUUCCUCGGAUCUUAAUGGUUGUGAUUGAAUUAAAAUUACUAUGAGGUAAGGGUUUGAAGGAGCAAGAUAAAGUAUGAAAACUUCCAAAAAAAAAAAAGAGAAACAGAACAAUGUGAAAAAUGGAGAAAAACCUGACAGGAAUGCAGGAAAUUUAAUAGAUGAAAGUUAUUUAUUCAUUUUUAAUUGAGAAAAAUAGAAUAUUAUUAUUAUUAUUAUUAGAAAAUUAUUUAUCAAUUUUCUAUUAAAAAAUUUUCUUGGAUUUCACAGAAAAUAUAAUAAAUAAAUUGACAUUAGCUUCCAUGAACUUAUCUCAAAUCCCAUUUUUUUGUGACAGAAGCUUCUGAGGACAGGAUUUUUUUUCUCAGGAAAAAUGGGUGGAACAAGGUGGAAGGUGUGGAAUAGAAGAAUGGAGAAUGGUAUGGAUGUAUUGAUAUGAUUUUAAUCCUCUUGGUAGAUUGUGUAAAUCAGAUGAAUGCGUCAGAGAAUUUCUUGAAUAAGGGUGUAGUAAUUUUCGGUAAUGAAGAGUUCAGUAAUUUGUUGAAUUGUUUUUAAAAUAUUUUCUUUUUCUUUCCAGUUUUUAAGAUGAUAUUGGAAGGUUUGACUCAGUAAUAUUAGGUUUAUAUGUGUUCAGAAUAUGUGCAGGGUUUACAACUUAUAUAAUUUUUGGCAAAUAUUUGUCACAACAGUAAUUAUGAAACUUUUAAGAUGAAUUUAGAAGUGAAAAGUGUUUUAAAAAGUGGAAAAAUCUCCGUAAAAAAGAUUGUGUUAUCUAGCAUGAUUUUUUUUUUCUUUGCUUUUCUUUGCUUUUGUUGCAACUCUUCUAUUUCCAACCUUUUCUUAGGACCAAAAUACUAAUAGUUUCUAUUAAGCAAAAUAAUAAAACAUGACACAAGAUGUACAAUGAUAGGACACAUAAUGAUAAGAAUCCACUUUCAUUAAUAUUUAUAUAAAUAAAAAAUAAUCAAAUAUUAAUUUUAUUUGAUUCUCCUAAUUUAGAAAAUAAUAUUUAUUUUAGAUAAAUCAAGAGCAGCUAAGAAUAUUUUAUCUUCUUAAUUUAGGAAAUAAUAUUUAUUUCCUUAAUGUUAAGAUAUUUAUUUCUUUCUAUGAUACACAAUGCAUCUUUGUAUAAAUUUCUGAAAAAAACAAUAAAACAAUUGUUUUCAUUAUGAAGAAGCUCAAACUUGAGUCUUCUCCAAGAGUGGUUGAAUGUUCUAGAAAGAAUGUCAUAAAAGGCUUGAUGUAUCCUCGUAAAUCAUAUCUUCCUCUUUAAAAAAAAAAAAAAAAAAAAGCCUUAAUGUUCCCAUCUUCCAUUAAUAUUCUUUCUAGUUUGAUUUCAAUCAAGCUAAACAACACAAAUUUUCUACCAUGGUGAAAUCAAAUCAUCCUCUUUCAUGACUUCAAUGUUUUAGCCUUUCAUGUAUGUUCUACGCUUUCAUUAGAGUUAUUUCUGGCUUGAUUUCAAUCAAGUUAAACACCACAAAUUUUCAAUUUUUGUCAUCUUCUUAAUUUGUGGUGUAAGUGUUCUCCAACAUUUCUUACCUCUUGAAAAAAUUAAAUAUUAUAAGGAAAGCAAUGUUCUAUCUUACAAUACUAGUUAUUGAUCAAUGAUAAAUUCAUCACUUCAUGAAUUUGAAUCAUAAAAGAGCAUAUUUUAAGUAUAAUCUUUGGUGUUAACAUGGUGUAUGAGAUAUGAACUUUUAAAGAGAAAUUGCUUCUUAUUAUAAUUGACAAUCACGUCAUAAUCAAAAGCCAAUUUCAAAUCAAGACAAAGUUUGUGAAUCUGUUCAUGGUUUAGGAUAAAGGUCUGAAAUAUUUUUCACCUACUAUGCUUUUCUAGCCUAUUCAUGGUAGCUUUUUAAGAAUACAUGCAAUCAUUCACUACCAAAAGGGAGGGAGAAAACAUUCUUAGAGCAUGCACACAUUUUUAUUUGAACGAUAUAGUCAUAAUUAAAAUGGUUGAGAAGACAAAAUUUUCAAUGUUAGGAAAGAGGCUUCACACUUUUUGUGUGUUAUAUUUCUCACAAAAAAAAUUCUUUCAUGUUUUGAUCAAAUCUCCAUAAAAAAUGAUGUCUUCACCAUGUUUAAGAGUAUAUUGGGUCAAAUAUACUUUACCUUCUUAAGUAAUCAUGUGCUUUACAUUUUGUUCCCUCGUUUAAAAUUCAACAAUUUGUCUUCCAAACUUCUUAAAAACCAACAUUACACCUUUUUUGUUGAAUGAUGUUACAUUAAUAAAACGAAAAAUGUAAGUGCCUUGCAUGUGACCUAAUAAGUAGAGGUAAAAUUGUCAUUUGAAAUACUCAAAGCCUUAAAAUCUCGUCAAUCUUUGUUUUUCCUUCCUCCAAACUCUUCAAUCUUCGAUUUUCUUUCUCCAAAGCCCUAAAAUUCAAUCAUCAAAGGGUUGAGAGUUUGAUUUAAAAUAUGGAUUUCAAUGAUAGUUUUUUUUUUUAUAAACCCCUACACUGUUUUGCUUCAAUUUUGUCUUUGAUAGCUAAGAAAAUUUCAAGAAGAGAAUAAAUUUUGAGUGAUGAGGUGUUUAUAAGGGUUAGGGUUUUCUUUUGAUAGUUGAAAAAUUUUUGGACAUCAUCAAUUUUUUUUUUCAGACUUAUAAAAUAUAUAAUAAAUAUUUUUUAAAUAGCUUAACAAAUAUUUUUUUUGUUUUUUACUUACAAAAUAAUAAAUAUGCCGUACAUUAUUUGUCCUAUAUAUUAAAUAAUUUUUAAAUACCUCAUAAAAUAUUAUUAUUAUUAUUAUUAUUUUAACUUACAAAUUAGACUCAUAGUGUUUAUUAUUUGUCAUAUUAUUUUGAAAAUAAUGUAAACAAUCACAUGCACUUUAAGAUAUUCAAAAUUUCUCUAUUCCAAAAUUAUCUAACUGUUCAUCACACUAAUUCUAAAUAUUUUAAAAUAAAGAUUUUAUACUGUUUUGGUUUUGGAGAGUUUAUUUUAUAUGUUGUAUAUAUUUUAUAUAUUUUUUUUUUGUUGGGUAUAUAUAGAAUUGAACAUUUGAUAGUUUAAAAUUUUUGUUUUAAUAAAAGAAAUCGUUAAAUAAACAUGUUUUAAUAAAAUAAUAUUUCUAAAACAUUUUUCUUAAUAAAAGAAAGUUUUUUAUUAAUAAAAAUAAAAAAAAACGCUUUUAAGAAAAUCCAAAAAAAAAAAUUGUUUGUAAUGAAAUUUGAAAAAUUAUUUUUAAUAAUAAUUAUCAAAAAAAUUAUUUAUUUAAUAAAAAUUGUUCAAAAAAAUUAGUUUUUAAAUAAGAUUUUCCAAAAGAUUAUAUUUCAUAAAAAAUCGUACAAUUUUUUUUUUUUUUUACAAAUAAAUUCUAUUUCCUUACUUAUAAUAGGAUUAAAAGUAAUUUUUGUAAAUUACAAAUUUCAAAAUUUUGAACCGCCCUUUUAGAUUUCAAAAUUUGAAAUGAUUUACGCCGCUGUCCGCAACUUGCAAUUUCAAAAAUUUGAAAUUGUUUACUUUGCUUGGGUGCUCGUCCCUUCAAAUUUCAAAUUUGAACGUUUGCCCGCCUUUCAGCUUUCAAAAUUUCUCGCCCAUCAAAUUUCAACUUAGGGGUGCCCGCCUGCUUGCCCUUCAUUUCAUAAUUCCAUAAACAAUUGUCCUCAUCUUGGCUGUCCUUUCGUUGGUUUUUUUUGGAAGACACGGGGGAGAAGGUAGAGACAAAGGUUGACAGAGUAAGUGUAACGACCCGCACCCAACCAUGUAGAUAUUGUCCGCUUUGGGCCCAAGGGGGCCCUCACGGCUUUAAAACGCGUCUACUUGUUUAAGAAGAGUCUCUACAUAUAUAGCGUCAGGAACUUCCUCCCCUAUCCGAUGUGGGACAUCACAAAUACCCCCCCCCCCNNNNNNNNNNNNNNNNNNNNNNNNNNNNNNNNNNNNNNNNNNNNNNNNNNNNNNNNNNNNNNNNNNNNNNNNNNNNNNNNNNNNNNNNNNNNNNNNNNNNUUUUUUUGGAAAGACCCGGGGGGAAAGGGAGAAAAAAGGGUUAACAGAGUAAGGGUAACCCCCCCCCCCCCCCCAUGUGUUUUUUUUCCGCUUGGGGCCCAAGGGGGCCCCCCCGGUUUAAAAAGGGGUUUACUUUUUUAAAAGGGGUUCUUAAAUAUAAGGGGUCGGGAACUCCCCCCCCUUUUCGGAGGGGGGACUCCAAAAAUCCCCCCCCCCCCCCCCCCCCAUGCAGACACAACGUCCUCGUUGUGUCCCAUGGGAUUGUGGGGCCAAACAGACAAAGCCAAACAAACUCCCACACCGGGGUCAGGGAUCGGCUCUGAUACCACUCUGUCACGCCCAAGACCCACUCCAAGGGCAUGACGGUCAUUUCACACCUCAAACCCGAAGGCUUAAAGUAUAAUCUGACCCAAACAAUCAUAUUGUAACUGGAUGUUACCAAUUACCAAAUACCUGUUCAGAGUAGCAGAACAAAAUCUAAAAUCCUCAAAAUUCAAUUUCCAAAUAACUUCCAAAUAUCAAAUGAUCCAAAUGAACAUAACUAACAGUUAAACAAAAUCCAACAUAAAAUCUUAAGUCAANNNNNNNNNNNNNNNNNNNNNNNNNNNNNNNNNNNNNNNNNNNNNNNNNNNNNNNNNNNNNNNNNNNNNNNNNNNNNNNNNNNNNNNNNNNNNNNNNNNNACCCAACCAUGUAGAUAUUGUCCGCUUUGGGCCCAAGGGGGCCCUCACGGCUUUAAAACGCGUCUACUUGUUUAAGAAGAGUCUCUACAUAUAUAGCGUCAGGAACUUCCUCCCCUAUCCGAUGUGGGACAUCACAAAUACCCCCCCCCCCCCCCCCCCAUGCAGACACAACGUCCUCGUUGUGUCCCAUGGGAUUGUGGGGCCAAACAGACAAAGCCAAACAAACUCCCACACCGGGGUCAGGGAUCGGCUCUGAUACCACUCUGUCACGCCCAAGACCCACUCCAAGGGCAUGACGGUCAUUUCACACCUCAAACCCGAAGGCUUAAAGUAUAAUCUGACCCAAACAAUCAUAUUGUAACUGGAUGUUACCAAUUACCAAAUACCUGUUCAGAGUAGCAGAACAAAAUCUAAAAUCCUCAAAAUUCAAUUUCCAAAUAACUUCCAAAUAUCAAAUGAUCCAAAUGAACAUAACUAACAGUUAAACAAAAUCCAACAUAAAAUCUUAAGUCAAAUCCUAAUGAUGACCAUUCCUCAGCCUAGCCAUCACUCCUCACCCGAACUAAGAGUACCUGAAGAAUUUUCAACAAUUGGGAAUGAGCUCACAGCCUAAUAAGGAAUAUUAAUGCAGUUCAUGAAUCAAAUAUUUUCAUUUUAAAUAGGAGAUAUCAUUUUUUUUUUUUCAUCAAAUAUUAGAGUUUCAAAAAUACCAAUAUAUUCAAAAUUCAACCAACCAUUUUCAUAUCAAAUUCAAACACUUUCACAUAAGAUUCAAUCAAAUCCAUUCAAUUUUCAUUACUCUGGUUAUCAAAUAUCAAAUGCCCAAUUAGGUGGGACUUUUCAAAUGGGUGGCUAGCUUCAAAUUGUUCCUGGUGGACGGAACUAAACACUACUAGUACUAGUAACCUCUAACCAAACCCCUAGAGGCUGGGGUCCAAAUCAAUUACAUUCCCACCAUGAAAUGUAAAGGUCAACUAUUAUAUCCCGUUGACAGGGCCGAAUAGUCAACUAUUAUAUCCCGUUGACAAGGGCCAAAUAAACCAGAGUGAUGGUUUUGUUCAAGUAUUCAAAUUUACACAACAUAAUAUCUCCAUAUUUUGUGUCAUAAAUGAAACAAAAUAUUCCAACAUAACAUUUAGUGCAAAACAAUUUGAUCCAUGCAUGAUAACAAAAUAUCAUUUUCUUUUCCACAAUUCAAAAUAACGUAUAAAAUAAUUUAAUUUUAUAAAUAUUACAUUAACUUCCUUUACCUUAAAAGAAAUCCUCCAAAAACUUUGGAGAAAAAUAAUCCUGAAAAUCUACUCUUCACCUAACAAAACAUAAGAGAAACAAUUAUUACUAUUUAUUUAUAAUUUAACUAAUCUAUUCCUUAUUUAAAUAAACUAAUAAAUUCCCAAUUUAUUUCUAAUAACACAUUACUAAUUUAAUUAAAUUAUAAUUUUAUUUCAUUAUAAAAUUCUAUAUAUAUAUAUAUAUAUAUAUAUAUAUAUUUUGCUAAAUCUAUUAUUACUAUUAUCUUAAUUAUAAAUCUAAAACUAAAUAUUAUUAUUUUAAUUAACCAAUUCCAAAGCCACUCAACCUAUCUCGGGUACACCAAACCAAAAAGCAAGUUUUUUUUUUUUUUUCAUUGCCAUCAUGAUCCAUUAUAUAUAUAUAUAUAUAAAAGGGCUUCCUGGCGCACGCCUUUUUUUUUUUGUUCCAUGCUUCCAAUAACACAGUACACGUAUGCCCUUUUUUGUUUUUUUUUUUUUUUUAAUAAAAUUAACCCUAACCUAAAAUCGAAACCUUCCAAGAAAAUUUUUUUUUUCAUCUAAUAAAACUUAAGAUCUCCCAAAUUCAAAUACUAAAAUCAAAAUAUUAAAUUUUCACUAUUUGAUAUUAAAACGAAUUAAAAAAAAAUAAUCUAACCCUAAUCUAAAUUUGGGGUUUUCCAAAAAAAAAAUAUCUAAUAUGCUUGAAAUUAACUAAUGACUCUAAAAUAAUAAUCUAGGGGUUAGAAACUUACCUAUAGAGGUUUGUUCUUCAAACCUUAAAAUCUGACCUCAACUUCACGUUCUCUGGAAACUCUCUGCGAACAGGAAUACAAUUCAAAAAAGAACAGGAAGAAGAGAAUUUUCUAUUUAUACCUAGGGUAUUAAUCGUAAGGAGUGUUUGUCUGUUUGACCCCGCAAUCUCAUGGGACACAACGAGGACGUUGUGUCUGCAUGGGGGGUAUUUGUGAUGUCCCACAUCGGAUAGGGGAGGAAGUUCCUGACGCUAUAUAUGUAGAGACUCUUCUUAACCAAGUAGACGCGUUUUAAAGCCGUGAGGGCCCCCUUAGGCCCAAAGCGGACAAUAUCUACAUGGUUGGGUACGGGUCGUUACAAAUGGUAUCAGAGCUGAUCCCCAACCCCGGUGUGGGGGUUUGUUUGGCUUUGUCUGUUUGGCCCCGCAAUCCCAUGGGACAUAACGAGGACGUUGUGUCUCCAUGGGGCGGGGCGGGGGGGGGGGGGGGGGGGGGGGGGGUUUUUUUAUUCCCCCCCCCGAAAGGGGGGAAAGUUUUGGGGGGUUUUUUUUUUAAAACCCCCCUUUACCAAAAAAAACCCUUUUUAAACGGGGGGGGGCCCCUUGGGCCCAAAAGGAAAAAAAAUUAAAUGGGGGGGGGGGGGGGGUUUCCAAAAGGGGGGGAAAAAAGGACCCCAAAAAGGGGGGGAAAAGGGGGCUUUUUUUUGGAAAAAUUUUCCCCGGGUUUUUUUUUUUCCCCCCCCUUUUUAAAAAAUUUUUCCCCCCCUUUUUUUUUUUUUUUUUUUUUUUUUUAAAAAAAAAUUUUUUGGGGCUAACCGUUUUUUUUUUUUUGGUGCGGGGGAAAAAAAAAAAAAAAAAAAAAAAAAAAUUUUGUAUUUUUUGGGGGGGGGGGCCCCCCCUCAAAAGGGGGUUCUUUAAAAAAAUACCCCCCCCGGGGGCCCCUUUUUUGGGGGUUUUUUUNNNNNNNNNNNNNNNNNNNNNNNNNNNNNNNNNNNNNNNNNNNNNNNNNNNNNNNNNNNNNNNNNNNNNNNNNNNNNNNNNNNNNNNNNNNNNNNNNNNNAAAAAAAUAAAUCUACCCGUAAUCUAAAUGAGGGGGUUUCCCCAAAAAAAAAAUAUUUAUUAUGCGGGAAAAUUAAAUAAAGACUCUAAAAUAAUAAAUCUAGGGGUUAGAAAUUUACUUAUAGAGGUUUGUUUUUCAAAACAUUAAAAUAAGACCUCAAUUUCACUUUUUCUGGAAACUCUCUGCGAACAGGAAUACAAUUCAAAAAAGAACAGGAAGAAGAGAAUUUUCUAUUUAUACAUAGGGUAUUAAUCGUAAGGAGUGUUUUUCUGUUUGACCCCGCAAUCUCAUGGGACACAACGAGGACGGGGGGGGGGGGGGGGGGGUGUUUGUGAUAUCCCACAUCGGAUAGGGGAGCAAGUUCCUGGCGCUAUAUAUGUAGAGACUCCUCUUAACCAAGUAGACGCGUUUUAAAGCCGUGAGGGCCCCCUUGGGCCCAAAGCGGACAAUAUCUACAUGGUUGGGUGCGGGUCGUUACAGUAAGGGGGAGAAACAAGGAACCAGAGGAAGGAAGCAGAAGGCUAGCUUAUUCGGUAUACAUUUCCUCUGGUUCUUUUGUUCUCUCCCUCUGUUUAAUAUAAUUCUUACCUCAAUUUAAUUUAAUUCUUAUUGAUUUCUAUAAAUAUAUAUUUUAGGUCUAUACAGUUUCAUUUUUAUUGGUUCAUGUAAAUAUAUAUAUAUAUAUAUAUAUAUAUAUUGUAUAUUUUGUUGAGGUUGCCUGCCCUUCAUAUGAGGGUUCCGUUAACAAUUAUCCGCGUCCUGGACGUCCUUUGGUUGGUGUUUUUUUGGGAGACCGGGGCGGACCAGGAACGGAGAAAGAUUUACACAGUAAGAGAUAGAAACAGGAAAUCGGAGAAAGAAAGCAAUAGAGUAGGUUCAGUGCACAUUUUAUUUCUCUCAUCUAUCUCAUCUAAUUCUUAUUGAUUUCUAUAAACAUAUUUUUUUUAUAUAUAUUUUUAUUAGGUUUGUAUAGUUUCAAUUUGUUAGGUCUUGCUAGUUUUUGGUGAAGGAUAGCUUGCUCGAAGCCGCUUCAAGCAGUACUACUUGGGGGAACCUUUCCAGGUAUGGCGGCUGUACGCUUCUUUUUAUUUUUUAUGAAUUUGCUCCAUUUUAUGCCGAUUUUCUGGGUAUUUAAUUGAUGACUGAUGUGGAAAUUAAGUUUUAAAUGGUUGUUUUUACUGAAUCUGAAUUUGUUUUCAUACUUAACUCUGUUUUGGUUUUCUACUAAUACCUUUUAUUUUCCUCUAAAUACCUAACGUAUGGACUGUUCUUGGUUGGAUACUUGCUAAUCAUGCCACUGCUCUCUGCUUGUCCCACUUACGUUCAAGCACUUGGAUAACACAAUGAAAUGUGGCUUCCUCUAACUGUUUGUCUGUACCACUUUUGUGUUUUACUUUCUUCAUAUCAGAAGAUUAAAAUGAUUUUUGUGCCUUUUCUAUGAUAAAUGAAAAAUAAUUAUUCCCCUUUUUACCCCUAUUUGAUUCAGCGGAUGGUUUGUUUCACGUUCUAUUUUCCAGGGGACCUAAUAAGUUUGAAACUGUUUAUAAUGUUUUGUUUUUCGUAUUUUAGUAUCAACACACCCAACUCUCAUAUAAGGCGUUGCAAUUGAUAGAAUCAAAGGCUGGACAUGGAUCAAAUUGCUGGCCCAAGCAGUAGACGAGGUAUGAAAAGUGUUUGAAAAGUCUGUUUAAAAUUGUCAAGUUGGAAAUAUUUAGUUACCAAGAUAUGAUUAUGAGUUAUUAAAUGGCAAAAUGAAUAAAAAUUCGUAAUUUUGAGGUUUUUCUUUGAUACACUUAACCAUGUAACCUAUAUUUAUGAAAAUCAAAUAAAAUUGUUUGGAAUCUAUUAAACAUUAUGAUUAAAUAUAUUAUAGCUUUGUAUAAUAUAGAUCAACCCAGUUACUCACCAUGUAGCUUAUUAGGGUUUUUAUUUUAUUUAUUUAUUUAUUUAUUGUUAAUUUGAAUUAAAUUAAACUGCCAAAUGCAAUAUAAUUUAAGAUAUUUGUAAGCUCUAUUUGAUAGUAUUAGAGGUUUAUGUAACAUAUUUGUUAACUAAACUACCAAAUGAGGGAUAUUAUUAAUUAUUGCAUUAGGUUAUCUAAUUUAAACUGAUUAUUUUCUCAUGGUCUUGUAGGUUUAGGACAUUUUUAGAUUAUUAUGUCUUACUCUUUAUUUAAUAUUUAAAGGUGUUGCAUAAUUAAUCAAGAUGAGAGAGACAAGUCUUACUCUGUCCAAGAAGAAUUAAUUAGGAUCUAUCUUAUCGUUAAAUGGAUGUUAGGCUUUAAGCAAGAGGGGUGUUAGUAUUGAUUUUAAAGUACUCGUGAGUGAGUCGACGUUUUAGCAUUACCCCAUGCUCAAAGUAGAAUUCUAUGGAAUUCUAAAAUGUUUCUUUUUUAAGAGUUUUUUCUUUCUGGAAAAUCUUAGAUUUUCUUUUUAUAGGUAAAAAGAAAAUCUAAAAUUUAGAGGGUCAUCAGAAUGCACACGAAGCAUAUAAAAAACAUUUUUCGGUUAAGUCAAGGGGAAACAACAAAUACAAUUUGCCCUCGGCCUAAGCCUAAAGCAUAAAAGACCAAGAGAAAACAAAAACCUCGAGAUGACCUUCUUGUAUGCUUGUCGACCAAACUGGUUGCUGUGACCCAACCAUGACAAAAAGAUGAAACAAAAAAAAUGCAUCUUCUACCCUUGACUCUUUCUGAGGCCACAGUUUUUUGAGUUGCGCCAAGAUCCUUGCACUGAAGCCCACUGUCGGCAAGCCCAACGAGUCGGUGAAAGUUUUCGGGUUGCUUGAGGACGGAUUCGCCAUAGACACCCAUGCUCUAGAAACCCAGCCUGGACAUGACCCAUUUGCAUUCACUUGUUCUGAGAAACCGAAAAAUCCAUUUUAGGGGACCGUAAUCAUUUCCUAGAGAAUUAACAGAAAAAACCACCUCACAUCCCUUCGAAUCAAGACCAACCCCAUAAAAUGCAAAAGUUGCUCAUGUCUCCAAGGGAGAAAGAGAGAAAGAAAAAGUACCAGAAUGUCCUACCGCUACUUCCAUAAGGGCAAUUUCUCCAACUGCAGCAAGUGAAGUAGCACUCUCACGUUCUCAACAGCGCAUCUCUCCCGUGGCUUCACCGCUAUCCUCUAGACCAGAAAACGCAUAACUCGAAACGUCAGUAGAAAUAAAUGGUUGUACUUCCCACCACAAUUGAUGGAGAAGCAAGAGAAGUCAUCCACCGCCGUCAAUAUCCCAAGCAUCCUUCUCUCAUCUAAUCUUGCUAAAGCCACGCAAGUAUCCCUAAUCUUUUUUAACGUCUUCGGACUCCACAAGUGCAAAGGAAGCCUUACCACGCUAACCCACACUUCCUUGGCAUGCGCACCUUUUCGACAACAGUCUACCUCGAGGGACGACCUAUCCAAGCGCAAAACCAUUUCCUUAAACCUUUUUACACCACUUGGCAAAACAAUCUCUUUAUCACAGCCAUGAUCAUACUCGAACUAUAGAACAACACCCCUUAGCAAGAUAAUCCUUAUCACCCCUUAGAGACCAAUCAUGACCUACACAACUCCUGAACCCAAGAAAAUCUGGGGUUAGGUAUAGAAAAUCUACCCAUCUCCCUACUAGACAACUACUCAAUUUCUCUAUCCGGGUUGAACCUCCUCAUCAAACUGAAUCCAAAUUGUUUCAUUCACCAAAUCGUGCUCUUUAUAACCAAGUCUACAAUAAACCCCUUCAAUGGAUACACUGAACUAUCCAUGUUCAAAGACCUUGAGGUAGUUGGGUAUGGAAGCCUCAUUUCCUUUGACGAAACUACUCAGAGAAAGUGAAGUUUGUCGGCCGGGAUAGACCCUAUCCCCUAGGAUACUUGUCACGACCCAAAUUCCGGGCGACCCAAAAUUUGACCCAUGACCCCAGGUCAAAGGUUUGACCCUAAGAGUUCCUCCUAUUCCACGUUGGCAGUCAACCAAAACACUCUGGAUUUUUUUUUUAUAUACAUCUCACUAGAAUUCUCAUAAACCACAAUAUCCCAAAACUACUCAAAACAACAAGAUUAAAUAAAUAUUCAUUAGAGUCCAAAAUAAAAUUUCACAAUUAACACUUAAUCAAAAUAAAGCUUCAUAACAAAUCCAUGAGUCAUAAUUACUAAAACAAAUCCAUGAGUCAUAAUUACUAAAACACAAUAACAGAAAAUGUCACGUUCCACUAGGCCGCUCCAGGAGCAUCCUGAAGUCCUCCCUGCCCCACCUGUGGAUCCUCAAGAGAGAUAUCUGCAUCUAAAAAUGUGUAACAAGGAAGGGGUGAGCAUUUCCACAUUGCUCAGUAGGGUGCCUAACACCCAAGGGGUUAAGGGGAUUACUAAGUUUCAAAGAAUACGAAAAGAACACUUCAACACCAUAGGAACAAUUCAACAAUAUCAAUCAAACCACAUAGUUUAAUAUAUAAUUCUAUACACAAUUUCACAAUAUUCAACAAUUACAGGAAUGCACAUGAACGUGUGACACACAGUCAUACAAUGCACUAUUGUUCUCAGGCUUUCACCGAAUGAUACGCGUCCGCACCCAAAUACACUCCCCAUUCGGAGUUGAUUCGUCCCUAGCAGCGGCAGUGGCAAUGGCACCAUCUGAUUCGGGGUUCGAUCCCCGGCAACGGCGCCAUUUGAUUCGUGCCCAAUUGAUGUCUCAGCUGAUUCGUGUCUAGCUGGUGCUCCUUGAUUGAGGGAUUAAUCAACAAAAUUUAUAACCUAUUACACCAUAUACUAGGGUAGCAAAGACAAAGCUACUAUAGCAUAGUGGCUCUAGGAUCGUUCACUGGGAUGGGUUUUCACUUCACAAAUGAUAUUAAUUCAAAGUUGAAUUGGUGCCUUUUCAUUUCAAGGUUAGCUUUAAAAGAAAACAUAAAAAUGUUUGAAUGAAAAAGGUUUGGUUUUACACUAACCAAAAAUAGUAACUGAUUUUACUUACAAAGAAAAGUGUUUCUUGGAGUUCAGAUCACUAGGCUCAGGUUCCUCAUACAAAAAAGAGAGUUCCGGUCACUUGUUUCUUUUCCUCGCAUUAGAGAAUUAACAUAUAGUUCCUUCUCCAACCGGUGUUGUACAGAUGCUUCCCAUUAAUGGGUUCAAACACUAAAUCCCUCUCACUGAUGCACCUUGCAAUGACUCAUACCUCUCACCUAGCACUUGCCAUUCAAGGUGAUCUUUAACCUUGGAUUACCCGUCAAAAGCUCGCAAGAGAUAACUAAUGGAUGUCUCCUUGGAGUCCAAAAGCUUACCAAGUGUUGGCUAUUCUAGAAAAUCCUACCUUCAAGUCACCUCCCAAAGGCUCGCAAUGGGUAAACUAGUGCAUCUCCAUGGACGGAGAUCACUUGCCUUACCAAGUGUUGGCCCAGGUGAUUUAAAGGCGUUUUAAGUUAACUAAAAAGAUAAAAACCAUUAACGGGUUACACUUUCUCUUCAUUAAAAACUAAAACAACAAAACUUCCAAAUUAUGCAUGUGGAAACUUACCCGGCUUUCCUUACUCCAAGAGACAAAAAGCUUAGCCUCUCAUCCUCUUAGGAAAAAUCCUCAGAGUUUGGUUAGCUAGAAAUAAAAAGAAAUGAAAAAUCAAAGAGAAGGAAAAACAGAGCAAGGCUCUGUAUAUUCUAUAUAUUUAUCGAUAUGGAUUACAUGAUACUCUUACAGUGGAUGCAAGGGAAUAUAUAUAGAGACAUUUUUCCAACCUUCCCAACUAAGAAAUCUUAUGGUUGGUGGAUUACAAGGAGAAGAAUGGAAAUUCAUACAAAAAUAUCUGAAGAAAAAUAUCCCAAAGUGUCGGUCACAAAUAUCGGGGUGCUUCAGGAACCAUUUCGCAAGAGAAAAUGGUGUCUGCGAGAUUUCGCAGGCACUCAAGAAGGGUUGCGAAAUUACUUCGCAUCAACAAGCUGAACUCGCACCGCUGCGAAGUUGGAUUUCAUCUUGUGGUGUUUGGCUUCCAUCGCGACGUGAAACUUCAAGAGGAAUUUCAAAACACUGUACAAAAAGGCUGCGAAAUCAUCUCGCAACAAAAGGGUGAUUUCGCAACACUUUGCAAAUUUCUUCCUUCAGCUUGGAGUGAUUGACUUGCAGUGGCUGUAACUUCUUCGUUUCAACUCCAAAUUGCACACCGUUUGAAGCAUUGGAUUCUUGACUUCCUGAGCUUUGAAAUGGUAUAUAGAAUGUACAAAAUUGACUUCGGGAAGUGCUCCAAAAGUGCACAAGAAAACUGCAGCUGUUGUCCUAUGUUUUCUUCACUCUGUUUUUCCUCUCUCCUUGCUUCUCUCCUUGCAUACUUUGAACGACUUUGGCAAAGGGCUAUGGAGCUCCAAAGCUUGGUUCUUCAUUAAUUUGAGCUCUUCAUUGCUUUGCCAUGGAUUCCAAAUAACUCUCCUCAAUCCUGGAUUGUUUUGGUGAUCAAAUUACUAACAAAAACACCAAAACUUACACAAUUUGAUUAGAAAUGAUUGCAAGGGUCCUUAACAUGUUAAUUGGGUUAAAAGGCAAUAACUACUACUCAAAAGUGUUUAAAAGAGUUAAUUACAAGCUAUCAAAUAGCACUUUUUGAGUAGUAAUCAGUCUUCCUGGGGUAACUUUUGGGUCUUUCACCCUAGGGAUCUCUCUCCCUUCUUAAUUCGUCCCACACGACUUUCACUUCUCAUCACUAUUUCUUUUUUUUUUUUUUUUCCAUUUCAUACACUUUUCACAAUCUUCAUAAUUUUAUUUAUUUUCCACAUAACCAUGAUGCAAAUGAAUGCCACAAUUCCAAGGUUCCUCAAUAAUUCAACAAUUUCAACAUUCCCCAAUAAUCCAAUAAAAUAAUUUCACACAUUAAAAUUUCUGAUAAUAUCCCAAAUAAAUAUUCAAAAAUUUGCAUAUCAAAAAUCUUGAAAUUUUACCAUACUUACGGAAUUUUUCAACCAUUAUAAUAAUUUCUAAUAUUCGAAAUUAACUAACUUUCUAUCAUAAAAAUUCCAAAAAUUUUCUAACUAAUGCCUAAAAAUUCACCAAUUACUAUUUUUGAAAUUUAGCCCUAAUUUUGGAAUUUUUCAACCCUUCAAAUAAUUUUUUUACAAUUCAAAACAAUUAAUUAUCAAUCAAAAUCAAUUUCCCGCAAUUACAAAAAUUCCAAACAAAUUCCAAAUAUUCUAGAAAAAUUCAUACAAUCCCCAUAAUUCCUAAUUAACUCAUAAUGACAAUAUUUACAAUUUUUUUCAAGGGAAAAACAUAAAAAUUUAAGUUUUAAGGUUAGGGUCCCCUACCAAAGAUCUAAGAAUUCAGCUGCUAAAAAUACAAUUGGCCACUGUAUGAUUGUUCCCCUCGUCGAGUAGAACACACCCUCCAAAUCUGAGUUGAAACGGAGGUCGUUUGACCACCCAAACGACCGGUCAAAGCUCCGGCGAGGUGAGAUUUUCUAUAGUGCCGCUGCCCCUUUUCUCCCAGAUCUGCUACUGUUCCCUUCUUUUCCACUUAAGCCCAUUUCUUUUCAUUUUAAUCCACUUACCAAACAGCCCACUCAAGCCCAACCCAAGUUCAAAAUAAACCCAAUAACUAACUCCCAUUUUUCUUUUAAAACCCUAUUUCAUCCAAGCCCAAAUUACUCCAUUUUCAUUUUUUUUUUUCUUUUCUCUUUAUUUUUAUAAAACACACAAUUUAAUAUUUUUCUCAAUUUUUUAUUAAUAAGGAAUUUAAUUUAAUUAACUAUUAUUUUUUUUCUAAUUAAUUUUAAUUAAUUAACUUUUCAUUUUUGUUUUCGUUUUUUUUUCUUUUCCGGAAAUUCCCAAUUACUAAAAUCCUAAGAAAUUUCCACCCUAAGGCUGACAUGGCAUAAAAUUUUCAACUCACCUAAUUGACCAACACAAUAAACUGAAUUUCACCAAUCCAAAACUAACACCUGUUCUUCAGGCACUUUUCUUUUUGACUUUUCAACCAUCAUUUAAAAUAAGACUUUUCAAACUAAAAAUGCUAACGUGACAUAAAAUACCCGGUCAUUACAUCCUACCCCCCUAAAAGAAAUUUCGUCCCGAAAUUUAAACUAGCUUACCUUAAAAUUCAUAGAAGAGUUGCGAAUAGUGUCGUCUCAUUUCUUCCUCAGGUUCCCAAGUGGCUUCUUCUAUCCCAUGGUGUUGCCACCACACUUUGACUGCAGGAAUCACCUUGUUCCUAAACCUAUGCUCUCCAACUUCCAGAAUUCGUAAAGGUUCCUCCACAUAAGAAGUAUUUUCACUAAUCUGAACAUCUUGCAAAUCCACUACCCAAGUUGGAUCUGGAGUACACUUCCUUAGCAUUGACACAUGGAAAACAUCAUGCACAAGGGACAACUGUUGAGGCAAAAUUAACUUGUAUGCCACUGUGCCAACUCUCUUAUCAAUCUGAAAUGGUCCCACAAACCUAGGGGCUAACUUCCCCUUCUUCCCAAAUCGAAAUAUGCCUCUUCGAGGGGACACUUUUACAAACACCCAAUCCCCUUCCUCAAACUCCAAGGGUCUUCUCCUUUUGUCUGCAUAACUUUUCUGUCUAUCUUGGGCAGUCUUAAGUUUUUCCUUGAUGAGUUGUAUCUUCUCUGUAGUCUCUUAGACAAUCUCAGGUCCCAACAAACGACUUUCACCCAUCUCUAUCCAACACAAGGGCGACCUACAAGGUCUCCCAUAAAGUGCUUCAUAAGGUGCCAUGCCAAUACUAGAUUGGUAACUGUUGUUAUAAGCAAACUCUACUAAAGGUAAGUAAUCUGCCUAAUUUCCUCCAAAAUCCAAAACACAAGCCCUUAACAUGUUUUCUAAGAUCUGGAUCACUAUUUCUGAUUGACCAUCUGUCUGAGGGUGAAAAGCGGUGCUAAAAUUCAGUUGAGUGCCCAAAGCCCUUUGUAAACUCUGCCAAAAUUGAGAAGUAAACUUAGGGUCCCUGUCAGACACUAUAGAUACAGGUAUCCCAUGCAAUCUCACAAUCUCCUGUAUAUACAACUUAGCCAAAGAGUUCAUGGAAUCAGUAGUUUUCAUGGCUAGAAAAUGAGCUGACUUAGUAAGACGGUCCACAAUCACCCAAACUCCAUUUUUCUUGCUUUUAGUUCUUGGCAACCCUAUCACAAAGUCCAUAGUGAUAUUAUCCCACUUCCACUCAGGUAUAGGUAAAGGUUGCAACAAUCCUGCAGGCCUCUGGUGUUCAGCCUUCACUUGCUGACAAAUCUGACAAUUAGCUACAACCUGAGCAAUAUCUCUCUUCAUCCCACUCCACCAAAACUGUCUCUUUAAGUCUUGAUACAUCUUGGUAUUCCCAGGAUGGAUGGUAUACUUCGCCCUAUGAGCAUUUGCUAGAAGUUCAUUUCUCAACUCCACAUCUUUUGGCACACACAAUCUCCCUUUGAACCUCACACUCCCAUCUUCAUACAUAGACCAAUUUUCAUCUAUUUCACCUGCUACCAACUGGGCUUUAACCUUUUCUAAAAACUCAUCAUGAACUUGGGCCUCCACUAUUCUCUGGAUAACCAUUGGUCUAGCUGAUAUACUGUACAAGCAUGGACCAUGCCCUUCCAAACCAAGACAUAAUUCAAAAUCCUCAAUAACUGCAUGCAUCUCAAACUCUCUCAACUCCAAGCUAGACAACUGGCCAACACUCUUCCUACUCAAGGCAUCUGCUACAACAUUCACCUUUCUUGGAUGAUAAUGAAGAGCAAAAUCAUAAUCUUCCAAUGUCUCCAUCCAUCUCCUUUGCCUAGAGUUCAGAUCCUUUUGAGUGAAAAUAUAUUUCAAACUCUUGUGAUCAGAGUACACCUCAAACUUCUCUCCAUACAAAUAGUGUCUCCAAGUCUUAAGGGCAAACACCACUACUGCAAGCUCCAAAUCAUGUGUUGGAUAAUUCCGCUCAUGCUGCUUUAACUGUCUUGAGGCAUAAGCUACCACCUUGCCUUGCUGCAUUAGCACACACCCUAGCCCCACUGUGGAAGCAUCACAAUAAAUUGUAAACAACUCUCCACUAAUAGGAGCAGUUAACACUAGAGCAGUGGUCAAUUUCCGCUUCAACUCCUGGAAAGCAUUCUCAUACUCCUCAUUCCAAUCAAACUUCACCCCAUUUCUAGUCAACCGAGUCAUUGGUACUGCAAUUCUAGAGAAGUCUUCCACAAACCUCCUAUAAUAUCCAGCCAACCCCAAGAAACUUCUAACCUCAAAUACAUUGGUAGGCCUUUGCCACUCCUAAACAGCUUCCACCUUGGAAUGGUCUACUGCUAUUCCUGCCUCAGAAACCACAUGGCCUAAGAAAUUCACUUCAGUAAGCCAAAACUCACUUUUUUCCAACUUCCCAUACAACUGAUGUCUUCUUAAAGUUUUAAGAGUGGUCACCAAAUGCUGUUUAUGCUCCUCCAAACUCCUAGAGUAAAUCAAAAUGUCAUCCACAAACACAAUCACAAACUGAUCUAAGUAAGCAUGAAAUACUCUGUUCAUUAAAUCCAUGAAAGCAGCGGGGGCAUUAGUUNNNNNNNNNNNNNNNNNNNNNNNNNNNNNNNNNNNNNNNNNNNNNNNNNNNNNNNNNNNNNNNNNNNNNNNNNNNNNNNNNNNNNNNNNNNNNNNNNNNNUUAGUGUGCCAUCCUUCUUCUUCACAAACAACACUGGGGCUCCCCAUGGCGACGUACUCGGACGAAUAAAACCUUUACCCAACAAUUCAUCCAACUGAGUUUUCAAUUCCUUCAACUCAAGAGGGGCCAUCCUAUAAGGGGAUACUGAAAUAGGAUCAGUUCCUGGGAAUACUUCAAUAAAGAAAUCAAAUUCUCUAUGAGGUGGUAAACCUGGAAACUCAUCUGGGAAUACAUCUUGAAACUUUCUCACCACUGGAAUUUCUGCAAUGUCCUUCUAGGCUUUCUCCUUACCACGAAGGUAAGCUAGGAAAUUUAUUGAUCCCUUCCUCAACACAUACUGAUAGCACGGAUUGGAUUGCGAAAAAAGCAAACUAACACACUUUCCUCCAACAAAGCAAACCUCAAAUCCCUCUGGCAGACAAAAUAUUAUCCUGCGGCGAUGACAAUCAAUAAUUGCUCUAUACACUGCCAACCAAUCCAUUCCCAAGAUAACAUCAUACCCAGUCAUAUCUAAAAUCCUCAAAUCCACAUUAAGUGCUAUAUCCACCAAGGUAAUAACGCACCCCUUGCAUAUUCUAUCAACUUUAGAGUUCGUACCCAUAGGGGAUUCAAUAAGUAACAAAUUCUCUACCCUUUCUGAUUUCAACCCUGAUGCAUUAGCACAAGAUAUAGAAAUGAAAGAAUGAGUUGCACCAGUAUCAAACAAAACAUGCACCCAAGUACUAUAUACCAAAAUCAUACCUUCCACCAAGAGAGCGUCCUCCUCUGACUCUGUUGGGGUCAAGGCAAAAACUCUCCCAGCUGUCUGCCUUCCCCUACCUCUAGCAUUCGACCCCUGAGAAGAGCGGGUCUGACUCGUGGUAGCUGUCCUAGUUCCCUGUGCUGCUGGGGGUAAUUGUGGCAUCUGAUAGUAAGGCAACUGAAACUGAGGGGGCUGGAAAGGCACUACUGACUGUUAUUGAGAACUUCCCUGAGACUGAGGUCGAGCCUGCUGUGCACCUUGCACUGGGCAAGCCCUCCAUAAAUGGUCUCCUGCUCCACAACCAUAACAUACUCUAUUAGCAGCUGCCCUCUGAGCAAUCUGCCCCCCUCCUGCAUAGAACGAGGGACGCCUCUCAAACUGCUAAGUCCUCUGCCUCUGCUGUGGCCCUUGGGAACUUUCCCUCAUUCUUUGUUUCCCUUUUCUGUCCCCCUUUUGCUCUCGAAUUUGGUUAGUUUCGUCAAUGUCCUGCUCCACCAACAAAGCCCUCUUAACCAACUCAGAAUAGUCCCUUAUUGCCAAUGGGACUAAUCUAUUCCUAAUAGCAGGCCUCAACCCCUGCUGGAACCUUCUAGCCUUUUCUCCUUCCUCCCCGAUCAUCCCCAAAGCAAAUCUAGACAACUCCGAAAAGCGUGACUCGUACUCCAGCACCGACAUGGUUCCCUGGAUGAGGUGCUCAAACUCCAUCCUCUUGGCAUGCUUAGCCACCUCCCCAAAAUACUUGCCUAGGAAGAUUCUCUCAAAUUCCUCCCAGGUCAUAACCUCAGUGUCAUACACCCUUUUCAUUGAUUCCCACCAGAAAUCAGCUUUAUCAACAAGCAUAUAUGUUGCUAGACCUACCCUUCUUUCCUCAGGUAUGUCCAGUCCCACCAGAAUUCUUCUCAUCCUCCUCAACCAAUGCUCAGUUGCUUCAGCAUUGGGCUCUCCAUUAAAAGAUGGAGGUUGCAUCACCAUGAACCUCUUUAUUGCUUCCAUUUGGCUCAUUACUGGCCUCUCAGUGCGGUUCCUCCUAUGUGAGUGGCCUGAAUCCUCAUGGCCCUGGGUACCUCCUGAUCUCCUGGAACCCUGGCCUCUCAUCAAUUCAACAGUUUCUCUCAACUCUCUUCUUACUUCUCGGAGUUCUUCUCUUACCGUCUCCAACUCCUCAUUCCUCUCUGAUCUUCCUCCUCUGGUCCUUCCCGCCAUUUCAAGUUUAACAAACCCUAAUUCAAUCACAUUACUAAGGUGAGCAAAAAUAAAUUUCACAUAUACACACUUAGCAACUUCAACAAUUAUCAAAACUUUCACUUUCAUACACUCAUAAUACAUAAUUCAAUUAAUCAUCAACUAGUUAAUUAACACAUACAAAAAUCAUAACAUUACAACACACAUAAACACCCAAGGUAUUAUUGCAACCUUGGCUCUGAUACCACGCUGUCACGACCCUAAUUCCGGGCUACCCAAAAUUUGACCCGUGACCCCAGGUCAAAGGUUUGACACUAAGGGUUCCUCCUAUUCCAUGUUGGCAGUCAACCAAAACACUUUGGAUUUUUUUUUUUUUUAUAUAUACAUCCCACUAGAAUUCUCAUAAACCACAAUAUCCCAAAACUACUCAAAACAACAAAAUUAAAUAAAUAUUCAUUAUAGUCCAAAAUAAAAUUUCACAAUUAACACUUAAUCAAAAUAAAGCUUCAUAACAAAUCCAUGAGUCAUAAUUACUAAAACAAAUCCCAAAAUCCAAACAAAAAACACAAUAACAGAAAAUGUCACGCUCCACUAGGCCGCUCUAGGAGCAUCCUGAAGUCCUCCCUGCCCCACCUGUGGAUCCUCAAGAGAGAUAUCUGCAUCUAAAAAUGUGUAACAAGGAAGGGGUGAGCAUUUUCACAUUGCUCAAUAGGGUGCCUAACACCCAAGGGGUUAAGGGGAUUACUAAGUUUCAAAGAAUACGAAAAGAACACUUCAACACCACAGGAACAAUUCAAAAAUAUCAAUCAAACCACAUAGUUUAAUAUAUAAUUUUAUAUACAAUUUCACAAUAUUCAACAAUUACAGGAAUGCACAUGAACGUGUGACACACAGUCAUACAAUGCACUAUUGUUCUCAGGCUUUCACCGAAGGAUACGCGUCCGCACCCAAAUACACUCCCCAUUCGGAGUCUUCCCGGGGUAACUUUUGGGUCUUUCACCCUAGGGAUCUCUCUCCCUUCUUAAUUCGCCCCACACGACUUUCACUUCUCAUCACUAUUUUUUUUUUUUCCAUUUCAUACACUUUUCACAAUCUUCAUAAUUUUAUUUAUUUUCCACAUAACCAUGAUGCAAAUGAAUGCCACAAUUCCAAGGUUCCUCAAUAAUUCAACAAUUUCAACAUUCCCCAAUAAUCCAAUAAAAUAAUUUCACACAUUAAAAUUUCUGAUAAUAUCCCAAAUAAAUAUUCAAAAAUUUGCAUAUCAAAAAUCUUGAAAUUUUACCAUACUUACGGAAUUUUUUAACCAUUAUAAUAAUUUCUAAUAUUUGAAAUUAACUAACUUUCUAUCAUAAAAAUUCCAAAAAUUUUCUAACUAAUGCCUAAAAAUUCACCAAUCACUAUUUUUGAAAUUUAGCCCUAAUUUUGGAAUUUUUCAACCCUUCCAAUAAUUUUUUUACAAUUCAAAACAAUUAAUUAUCAAUCAAAAUCAAUUUCCCGCAAUUACAAAAAUUCCAAACAAAUUCCAAAUAUUCUAGAAAAAUUCAUACAAUCCCCAUAAUUCCUAAUUAACUCAUAAUGACAAUAUUUACAAUUUUUUUUCAAGGGAAAAACAUAAAAAUUUAAGUUUUAGGGUUAGGGUCCCCUACCAUAGAUCUAAGAAUUCAGCCGCUAAAAAUAUGAUUGGCCAUCGUAGGAUUGUUCCUCUCGUCGAGUAGAACACCCCCUCCAAAUCUGAGUUGAAACGGAGGUCGUUUGACCACCCAAACGACCCGUCAAAGCUCCGGCGAGGUGAGAUUUUCUAUAGUGCCGCCGCCCCUUUUCUCCCAGAUCUGCUACUGUUCCCUUCUUUUCCACUUAAGCCCAUUUCUUUUCAUUUUAAUCCACUUACCAAACAGCCCACUCAAGCCCAUUUCGUUUCCUCUUAAACAGCCCACUCAAGCCCAACCCAAGUUCAAAAUAAGCCCAAUAACUAACUCCCAUUUUUCUUUUAAAACCCUAUUUCAUCCAAACCCAAAUUACUCCCUUUUCAUUUUUUUUUUAUUUUCUCUUUAUUUUUAUAAAACACACAAUUUAAUAUUUUUCUCAAUUUUUUAUUAAUAAGGAAUUUAAUUUAAUUAACUUUUUUUUUUCUAAUUAAUUUUAAUUAAUUAACUUUUCAUUUUUGUUUUCGUUUUUUUUUUCUUUUCCGAAAAUUCCCAAUUACUAAAAUCCUAAGAAAUUUCCACCCUAAGGCUGACAUGACAUAAAAUUUUCAACUCACCUAAUUGACCAACACAAUAAACCGAAUUUCACCAAUCCAAAACUAACACGUGUUCUUCAGGCACUUUUCUUUUUGACUUUUCAACCAUCAUUCAAAAUAAGACUUUUCAAACUAAAAAUGCUAACGUGGCAUAAAAUACCCAGUCAUUACAAUACUUCUUCCUUGAGGGAAGCUCAAGGUGAACCUUUUAGUCUCCACACAACAAAUCAAGCAAAUAAUGAACCCAUCUGCCUCAUAAGAGCUUAGUUCCAGUGUAAACUCUGUCUCGUCUUCCACCCAUGUUUUGUUGCACAAAUUUUCAUCCUCAGACCUAUAACAAGCUUCCACAUCUUCCAACAAACAACACAAGUUCCUUUUCCCACACCUGAUCCACCUGGACACACCUCUGCAUCUCUCCAAAAUUCUCUUUUAGUUUCCCUCCAAACGUCUCUAUUAAGAUAUCAAAUGACUUUGAUCCUAUUGCAAAACAACACCUACCAUUUCUCGUCUCUCAUUGUAUAUUGUCUGGGAAGAGUAUAAAUGUGGAAAGCGUUUUUUGCUUGUCCCACAUAGGAAAAAGUGGAACACUUUUAGUGGGUUUAUGCCCACUCGCCUUAGCCUAAUGGGCCUUUGAGUGGGAAAAGCUCGCAUGCUCAUGGGGUCGAAUCCCAUUUGAGUGGGUUUUUAAUGUUCACUUUCUCUCCUCCUUCCUUCCUGUGUACGGGUGCGUUAUUCGCUAAUUUUUAUUUGUUACUCUUUUACUUUUUGUCAACUCUUUGGGAAGAACCCUAGAGUUCCAAUGAGAUUGUACUAGUAGAUGUCUUGUAACAUUUACAACUAGACUCUUGUUCUAUUUACAAGUAGAGUCUUAUUCGGAAUGUCAUGCAUUCGAGUAAGAGCAUUUGCCUUUCUUCUCUAUGUAAAUAAAAGGUUGGAAUGAUUUCAAGACCCUCAACAAAAGAAUGGAUUAAGGUGACAUUUUUAUUCGCUAUGAAAAAUAGUUUUGUUGUUUUUUUUUUUUUUUGUUUUUGUCGCUAAUAAAUUUUGCUCAUUAAGUUCUUGUUUGAUGUGCCCUUGUUAGAACACUAUAAUAGUUGUUCUUUUUGGGUUAAUGGUCUCAAUCAUGAAUUGAUAAAAUUUCAUAUCCUUUUUCUUUUGGAUUCCAAGCUCGGUUUUUUCUUAAUCAUUGUGGAAGACGAAGCGGUUCGCUAGCCUCUACAUCUAUAGAUCCUACGUAAUAAUUAAACUUGGUGGUGGCUCGUUGUUUGAUGAGUGAUUCCUUGAUCACUAGAUCUCGAGAUUCCACCUUAUUCUUGGUUGAUUGGCAUUCUUGUAAGCUAAUCUUGCAUACUAAUUCUAGGGGUCCUAGGUGAUGCACCAACCAAAGAAUGUUUAUUCCCUUAGCCAUAAAACAUGAGAUUGGCAAUGCUUGUUGCUCAUUAGUCUGUCAUUAAUAAGAUUUCUAGCUAUUGUUUUUAUUUCACUUACAAGUAAAGUCUUGUUCUAUGUUAGUGACAUAUAAAACUAAGACACUCCUCACUUUCCAAACACCAAUUUUUUGAAGAGUUUUUCAUAGCACUUUUCAUACAUCUAUGUAGAGGAAAUUUUCAAAGCUUAAGCUAUCCAUGACCUUUCUAAAAAGUGCACGCCCAGUGAGAUUCACUAGCAUUAAAUCUUGGAGGUAUAAUAUUAAUACCUUAAUACAUUGGGUUUGUCUUUGAGAUGGUUGGAUUUUUUUCAAGGAUAGAGCUUGUCAUGCCUUAGCUCAUAACCAAUAAGUUUUCUUGUUAUUCGUUUUAUUCUUUUUGUGUUUUUUACGUAAGUCCUUUGUUUUCAUACCCUUGGUAAACUUUUUAGCAAUGUUUUAUUUUGAAUACCAUAAGUUCUUCUCCCAUUCUCUUUACUGCAAACUUUGACAAAAAAAAAAAGGUUUUGCCCAAACUUUUAGAAGUUUUCUAUUUCAUUCCUAGGUGUGUGAGAGAGAUUUGUAACUCUCAAGUAAGAUUUAGGGAUAAGAGCUAUCAUGAGAAUUUGUACACUAAUGGUUUUAUAGUGGACUUAAGUUUUGUGAUGUCUGGUAGUUUUUACAUUGGCAUAAUCUUUUGGACAACUUUAAAUUAAUAUUCUCAUAAACUUUAUUAUCAUAAAUAUUUUGGGCUAAAGGGAAGUAAAUGCUGUAAAAAAUGUUAGUGUUGCACAAUUUAUUUUACUAUAACUGUAAGUAACUGAUUUAUUUUACUUAAUGUGAAUAUAAUGGGGCUCACGGUUGCCAUUUUGGAUAUGUUGGUUCUAUGAUAGUAAGGUUAGGAAGGCAACCAAAUAAUGAUGUCUCAAACAAAAAAUGUUCAAAAUUAUAUCAUGCCUUGUUUAAUUUAUAAAAAUAAAUAAGUAAAUGUGUUUUUAUGUUAGCUAUAUUGAAACGGUAAUCAAGAUAUGGAAUUAGUCUCUUGGACGGACUAUAAUGUAAAACCAAAGACAAUUCUAAUAGAAAAAGCACUGUCACAUUCCAAUCAAAAUUUGAACACUCCAUCCGCAAAUGAAAAGCUAACAUGUCCCAAGAUUAUAAAGUCAUUAUUGGUUUCGGAUGCCAAUGGUUCUAAGCCUUGUGUCUUCCCUAUAAACUAAAAUUGAUGUCUUUUAGUCCUUACUAUGUGACAAUCCCAGUCUUGUGCAUGGAGAAAGGAUCAAGCUUCAAUUGGUAGCACGGUUUGUAGAGGUGUAUGCGCAACUUGCAGAUGAGAUCGUACUCUUAUGGGUGGAAUAGCGCAUAGUGUUGCUGGUUGAUCUGCCAGUGAACUAGCUUGUAGAAUCACGAGUGUUGAUAGUCAAUCUAUCGUACAACCUGAAUCUCUUUAAGCUAAUAAUCUUAUGGCUUUUUAUGAUAUUACGCUGGUGGAGAAAUAUUUUGUUUAAGAAUUCAAUAUGAUGUUUCUAGUGGAUUGGUGUGCUUGAAUGUUGUGCAUUGUCAAUGUUUGCUUUAAUUGUCGUAAUUGGAGUGAAUUUUGGGGAAUCAGAUAGUAAGAAAUGAGCCUUUUGCAUGGGAAGGCAAUGCUGCUGGAGAACCAAAUUUCCUUUGAAGUUAGCGAUAGAGUGAUAGUGGUGUUUUCAUUCUUGCAAAAAUUGAAGAAUUUUUGGUUUGUCGUGAUCAUGCAAAUUAUUAAUGGGAAACAUAAUCGAAAGCUUGAUGGAAGGUGGAUGCCAACCAAUGGUGGAUAGUAGGGACCAAAUGAUUGUGAUGUGUAUAGGUAUAAGCAUCUGCUUGAUCUAUACCAAAGUAUAAAAUUGAUGGUAUAGGAUCAUUCGGAGAUUUGGUCCUAGAGUUUAUGGUCUUAUCAUUUGAAGAUGAAAACGACCAGUUGUGGUCGUUGGAAUCUACAUGAAGCAUAGUCCUACAAGUUAUUAUUUUAACAUUAUUAAGUUAUUAAUGAAUAAAAUAUUUAUUUAUAAUAUUUUCUGUAUAUCAAUUUAUAUUUGUUGAAAUAAUAUUAGAUUUUUUAGCUUAAAAAAAAUGUAGUCACAAUUGUGAAGUGAGGGUUUAGUUAAAAAAAUGGAGUCUCUAUUAACAAUUGUGGUUUCAAUUAAAAAAUGAAGACUCGUUGUCAGUACGGUUUUAAAAAUUGAAUUGGAUUGGUUGGUUGGAAUGUCGGUCAAUUUGAAUGGUUCAAACGUCCUUCGGUCGCCGUUUUGUUUGGUUCAAACGUCCUUCGGUCGCCAUUUUGUCUAGUUCGGUCAUUUAAGAAGGAAAGUGUUUGAAGCAGAAUUAGGCUAGUUAAAUUGGUGGUUGGAUCAUCGAAUAAAUCAAAGGGUUCCCUUCGAAUCGUACGAGUGAAUAUUUUUUUGUUUUUUUUCCAUUGUUGUCGUCUCUCGUCAGUUGGACCCCCACCUUGCGCUGGAAAAGCCCCCUCUUGCCGUCCCCGUUGCUAGAAAAGCACUUUGUGUUGCAAAGUCACCACCCUCGUGACGUUGUUGAGACCUCGCACCCCACGCCUCAUCUUAUUGUUCCUCGCCAACAGAACCCCCACCACCCUGUAAAGCCGUUGCCAUCUUCACCCUGGAAACCCCAUCCUCUAGGAGAGAAGGAAUUCUUAAAAGGAGAGUUUAUAGAGAGGGGAGAGGAGGGGGGAGAGAGAGAGAAGAAGCGUGCAGUGACAGCACAGAGAUUUUGUAUCAGACGGAGUAGAAAUGAGGGAGGUGAGUUCACUUUUCAAAUAUUAAAUUUAAUUUUCUCAUUCUUGUCUUCAAUAUACGUGUUAUUAUAUUUUGUAUCUUGAUUUUACAAAACAUUAUUCAGUUACAGAAAGAGAAAUGGGAAAAGUUUUAUUAUUAACACAAGUUUCAUUUGUUACAUCUAAUAUAUUUUUUAUACAUGGCUUAUUUUGACUAAAAACUCCCUUGAAACAGUGUAGAGAUAUCUAGCGGUAUUCUUUCUGACUAUCUCAUUCUCCUCGUAACAAAUAACAAUGGCAGGGAACAUGGUCAUCCUUCAAAUGGAGGAGCAGUGGGAAUCAUUCCCGGUUGGUAGUGAUCAUAUGAGAGCCUUGAUUGAUUUAAAAUCCAGAUUUCAUCGACUAGAACUUGAAGUGGAAUCUGAAUCUUCGUUAUCAUCAAGUGUAAAGCUGCAAUGUCCUAAAUUGGAACAUAGAUUUGGUUGAGUUAUCAAUGGUGAUGGGAGGAAUUCUCAGGCAUGCGGUGGUCUCAUUUAAACUUAAAGAAAUGUCCCUCAUGUGACAUGUAAGACUGCGCUUGAUGCGGAUUCCAACGUCCAUCAAUUCCUUCUCAUUUCUAAAUGAUGUCAUAACCUCUCUGACAUCUCUAAUUGAUGCAUAUCUAGCAUACAACCAAUCCAACUAUCCAAUAACGAAGGACCUUCCAAAUUUUUCAUUUUAACGAUGCGUUGGGCUGCUAGAAUGUUCAUCACCUAGGAUAAUUCUUCGGAAGAGAUCGAGUAGACGAUGACAAGGCUUUGACUCGUUCUUAGGACUUUGCGACUUCAAUUUGGGGCCAAUAAUUUUGUUGUAUGGGAAGAACAGGCUGGGGUAAUAAUUCUUCAUUUUUUGCAGCAAGGACUCCCUCGUACCUAUAAAUUCCUGUAAUAUUGACUCGUCGUUAAUGCCGAAGAAUUCCUGGAACACUGGCAUCCAAAAAAAACCCACCGCUCCUGAACUCACCUUCUUCAUCAGCUUCAAAAAAUAAUUUUUAAAUAUAAAGUUAAAUAGAUAACUUAUUCUUAAUCUUAAACAUAUUUUCUUUCAUUUGUCCAUAUUUAAUAAAAACAUAUUUUAUAACUAUGACUUUACAUCCAUAAAUUAUUUUUUUAUACAACAUAUUAUAUAAUUAUGUUAUACAUUUAAAAUACUUUAAACAUAGAUAUUUAACAAAUACAUUUAUAACUUAAGAUGAAUAAAAGUAAAUAUAAGUUUAAAUUAAUGAACAAAUAUUAUUUAAAAUUAAUGAGAAUAAAUACGAUUAAUUUAAUUAUUUAAAAUAAAUUUUAAGUUAAUUUUAUUCAAUAAUCUUAAUAUUUAAAUUUAAAAAUAAGUUUUAAGUCAAUAUUAACUUAAAUUGUUAAGUAAUAGUAAUAAGUUUUACCCAACAUCUUUUUAAUUAUUGAAUUCAUAUUUCUUUUAUCAUUUCUCUUAUCCAAUUAAAAUUAUUAGAAAUCCAUCCAUUUAUGUUUUCUAUUUAAUCUCUUUAGCAAACUCGUCAUGUUUGAGUAGUUAAAUUAAAUCUUAUGUUUCCUCUCUCUUUGGGAUUUGAGAAAAAAAAAUCGAUAAUUUUAAAAAACAUUUAUUAAAAUAUGAUAGUUUUAAAAAUAUUUUAAAAUUUAUAAUAGCAAAGCAAAAAUCCAAUUGGAAAUAUUUUUGAAGCACCAUAUUUUAAUAAAUAUUAAAAAAUGGUUUUUUUUUUCCCCUCAAAAUCCCCAUCUUGGCUCUUGAGCAUUGCCCUCCCACUUCUAGUUAAUUUGUAACCACAUGUUUCAAUUUUGUUUAUUGAUGAGACAUUUCAAUAAUAUCCGAAUUGCCUUCACAGGUUUGGACGUUUCUUUGCCUUGUAUCUCGGCUAAGGAUAAUCUAGUUUUUUCUUAUCAUGUAUCACGUAAUGUUAUGGGAAAUUGUCUUAAACAAAAAUAUUGUUCAACAUUUAAUAUCCAUUAGACUUAAUUUCAUUCACCUUCCCUUAGAUUUUUGUUAAUACAUUUUAUUCUUAUAAAUUAAAAUUUCAUCAAAUAUAUAUUUUAUUUCUUUUUAUUUUUUAUUUUCACUCACCUUCUUUCUCAUUUAAAAUAAAUAAAGUAUUUGAUAAAAUUUCAAACUUAUAAAUACCAGAUAAAACUAGUCAAAACCUCAAGAAAAUGAAAUUAACUCAAUCCCAUUGUAAAUUCUCGUAUGAUUAAAUAUUAAGAUGAAUACGACAUAUCUUUAAGAUGAGUAUAAAUAAAUAUAAUAUCAAAUUAUAUAUAAAAAGGAUAGUUUAAAUUAAAUAAUCAAUUUAAUUUUCAAAUAAAAUGAUUAAUGUCAUUUUAACAUAUACGUGAUAUCGACUCCUACAUGUAUGGUUUAAUUUAAUGUUACCCACAUAGCUAUUCCAAAAUUAAAAUUUUUACUUACCCCUACGAUGUUAAGGCGGAGUAAUUGAUCAUACAAUGCAUAAUAAUUAUUUUCUUCAUUAGAUUAAAUAAUACAAAUUACAUAUACGAAUGAGAUUAUUUAGAUGGGAUUUCUAAUUAAUGAUCCAGCUUAGGUGUGAACUUAAAUUAUGUGUUUGUUGGAAACCCUUGUGAUGGAAUAAAAUUUCAUCCUUUUAUACUUGUAUUUAUUUUUUUUGAAGAACAAGUUUGACUUUUCCUUUAUAAUAAACAUUAAGUCUUUUUUUAAAGGGUAAAUAAGACUUUAAUAAUGUUAAUUGUUAAGUGAAGUGUGAACAUCUCCUCCAUGUGAACAACUGGAGCAUCUUUUACCUACAACUUAUAUGUAUUGUCUCGUUGUUCACAUGAAACAAUAAAUAGUGUAAGUCAAAUUCUCAUUACAAAUAUAAAAUUGCAUUAAUUCUCUAUUAUUAUUAAUCUUGGAUAUUGCACCAACAAAAACUGAGAUUAUAAUUAAAUAAAUCCAAAUCAGACAGCACUGAGCCUCUUUGUUGUCAUUUUUUUCAACCUUGGUGCCAAUCAUAAGUCCGGUAUUAAUUUAAUCAUGAUAUGAUCUUGAUUCAUUGAUUACAAUAUAGUUUAUUUGUGGUAGAAUUUUGGGAAAAUUAAUAUAAAAAAUAUGUGAGGAGGAAUCUUUUAUGGAUGGUUCAGGGAGAAGAGGCAAAUGAAGAUGUCCCAGAAAUGAAUUGGUGAUCAAAUAAUCCAAGAAAAAAAGCAUCAAAUCUAUGAUAUGUAUAAUGAAAGAUGUAUUUAAGUAAAUAAAUAAGCUCGUGUUAGGCAUGAACCCUUCCCAAAACCAAGGAGACACGCAUUAGCCUAUUUUAUGUGCUUCACUUGCUGUAUAUUAGUAGGUGUAUGAAUAGAUUAAUCUUUCUGAAGAAAAAAAAAAAAGAAAGAGAAGAAGACUUGAGUGCUCCUUUUUAAAUGACUUUCCCUUUGGAUAUCGUUAUAUCAACAAGGACUAGCUGACAGCAGCCUGUUGCUUACUCGAUUGGAAUUAUGGAGCUUGCAUGCAAUGAGCUGGUGAUUCAUAUUUCACAGGUCUGAUGUGGAUGAACUUUUUUCUUUCUUUUCUUUUAAUAAAUGAUAAGAAUAUCUCACUUAUAAAACAAAAAGAGAAAAUUAGACUAUGCGUGGAAACUAUUCUCAACAAUAAUUUUUUGUUUUUUAAACAUAAAAAAAAAAAUAUGAAAACACAUUUGCCUGUAAUUAUUUCUAAAAUAGGUUACUGAUGAUAUCUUUUAAUUAUUUUUGGUUAAUUUUAUUUUUUAUUUAGAGCUAUUUUUAAAUGUAAUUUUAGAAAUAUGAAAAAUGAUUAAAAUAUAUAAAAGGGUACAUAAAAGAAUAUUUUGAAAACAUAGAAAAUAAAUUGACAAUAUUUAAAAUUACCAAAGAAGCUUUUAUUAUACCAUCGUAAAAUUAUUUUUGAUAAUUAAUCUCAAAAACCAUCUUUUUAUAACUAUUUUGAAAAAUAUUCUCUAAUUAACAAACCUUAUGCUUUUAAGGAGGAUAAGGUAAAAUUUUAAUAAAAAAUAUAAAAUAUGAAUAUUAAUAUUUUAGUAAAGUUAUAAAUUAUAUUUUUUUUAUUAAAAAUAAAUAUUUUUUUUAGAAAAUGAUAAUAGUUAAUAAUAUCUUAUUUAAACUGAAUUAUGAAAAUAAGUAUAAUUUAUUUUUCAAAAUAAGCAAUAAAUUAAUCAAGUUUUGAUCACGUACACAUGUUUAUUCCCUAGUUACAAGUAUUCUGAACCAGUUCAAUCCCACAAAAUUUUUAUAAUAAUUAGCAUAAUUUUUUAGUUUUAAUUUAUUUUUAAAAUAAAAGCAUGGAACUAGAUUGAAUCUUUCUUGGGAAUCCCUAGCAAUGCUGGAGGCUGUGGAGUGGCGGGAAAUCAGGGUCAAUUUCAAUCAAACGUGUAUCUCUUUGCAUGUUUAAAAAAAAAAAAAAAAACCACUUAGUCAUUAAUUGUUACAAGCUGUCCAUAUACUAUUCCACCACUUAUCCUGACGGAAUACUUAAAUUAAAUCCUACGUCAUCAUGUUCAACAUGUCUCUACCACUUUCUAAUUGGUAGCCACAAGUUUUCAAUUCCAUUUAUUAAUAAUAAAUUGAAAACAAAAUCAAACUUUCAAAUACUCGCAACAACGUAUGUGAUUUUUUUUCAUCAAAUAAAUCCAUAAAAAGAAUAGUCUCAUUACUAUUAUUUUUUAUUAAAAGAAAAAAAAAAUUCUCGAUAAAAAAUUCAAUUAACUAUUUUCUGGACACCCAAAGCGUUACACCAAGGGGAAAAGAAAAGGAUCAUACAAGUUAAAGUUAAUUAAUUUGACAAAAAAAAAUCAAAUUUGUUUCAUCAUCUCCCAUUAUUAUUUCUAGGAAGAUGUGGUGUGGUGUGACGUAGAACUAAUUAGCUCUUAACAAACAAAUUGAGCAAAAAAUAAUAUCCAAAUUAUGUCCUAUAUAUACCAGUUUAGGCUAGGGGUGUAUAGAGUAGAGAGAUAUCUAGUAGUACUCCCUCUGCCUAUCUCAUUCUCCUCCUAAGUCCUAACAAAUAACAAUGGCCGGGAACGAGGUGGUCCUUCAAAUGGAGGAGCACCGGAAAGUAGUCGCUGAUCAGUUUGGAAAACCUGCGGAUGGCAGUGAUCAUAUGAAAGCCUUGGCUGACUUAAAAUCCAAAUUUCGUCGACUAGAAAAUGAAGAGGAAUCUGAAUCUCCAUUAUCAUCAAGUGUAAAGCCACAACGUCCCUUAUCAUCAAGUGUAAAGCCACAAUGUCCCAUGGUUCCAAAGAGGUUGCGACCAGAUGUCAAGGGUGCUGAAGACUACUACUAUGCGCCAAAACUCAUUUCUUUGGGUCCUUACCACCAUGGCAAGCCCCACCUCAAGGAUGGAGAAACGCUCAAGCUUAAAUUGGCAGAAGCCUACAUCCAAGAAUGUGAGCCAACAGUGGAUGAAAUUUACAACACAAUUAGCGAUAGCAUUAGUGAGCUGAGGGGCUGUUAUGAUGCGGAGUCGACAAAGAAAUAUAAGGAUGACGAAUUAACCAUCAUGAUGCUGGUGGACGGGUGUGCUCUACUCUGUUACAUUUUAUGCGUUUGCUUAGGUUAUGGCCAUGAAGAUUUCAAUAUCAGAUAUCAGGAUAUAAGCCUUCUGCACCAGGAUGCGUUGCUGCUGGAAAACCAACUUCCCUAUCAAUUACUCCUUGAGCUGAUGAAGAUGGUGGACCCAGGAUCAGCCAAUGAUUUUUGGACGGCCAUGUUCCAGGAAUUCUUCGGCAUCAGCGACGAGUCAAUAUUUCAGGAAUUUAUCGGUAUGAAGAAGAAGGAGUCAUUCCUGCAAAAAAUGAAGAAUUAUUGCCCCCGCCUAUUCCUCCCAAUCAACCAAAUUAUUGACCCCAAAUCGAAGCCGCAAAGUCCUAAUAACGAGUCAAAGCCUUGUCAUCAUCUCCUCGAUCUCUUCCGAAGAAAUUUCCUAGGCGAUGAACGUUCCGGCAGCCCAACGCACCCAGAAAAUGAAAAUUUGGAAGGUCCUUCGUCAUCGGAAACUGAAAUUGGCCGGAGGCUGGGUAGAGCAUCAGUUAGAGAUGUGAAGGAGGUUAUGGCAUCAUUUAGAAAUGUGAAGGAGCUGAUGGACGCUGGAAUCCGCAUCAAGCGCAGUCCUACACGUCACUUGAGGGACAUUUCUUUCCGUUCAAAUGGGAUCACCGCAUGCCUGAGAAUUCCUCCCAUCACCAUUGAUAACUCAACCAAGGCUAUGUUCUUGAACUUGAUAGCCUAUGAAAUGAGCUCAGACGUCGACCAUGACUUCAUCUCUUACCUUCGCUUCCUUGAUUCCCUCAUUGAUCAUGCUGAUGACGUUAAGGAGCUGCAGUCCAUCGGGAUACUCCAAAACAAUCUAGGAACCCACGACGAAGUAGCUCAAUUCUUCAACACCGUGUCCGCCAACUUGGAAUCCAACUUUCAUGCUUACAAAGACGUGAGAGUGAAAAUUCGGAAGCACCUUCAGAGUCACUAUAACAGCAAACUGACAAUGUGGAUGACACAAUGCCUGGACACCUAUUUCGGUAGCCCCUGGACUAUCAUAGCUUGGGUUGGUGCAGCUUUGGCCCUAUUCCUUACUUUCGUCCAGACUUACUUCUCAGUCUUCCCUCAUUGAUGCAUGCCUGCCCUCUUUUCAACUAUCACCGUCUCAAUUAAGGUAAUAUCCACUCCAAAUUUCCUUGUUCUUCUUGCUAUCUGCAUUUUACCUAGUCCAUGUAAAUUAAGCAAAGACUCAUUGGCUUCAUGCGCUUUUGACCUUACCUAUUUUGUGUUUUUGGUUUCAGCCUAUUUUCUACAUUGCUUUCCGUGCUUAAAUUAAGUAACGAAUGAAUAUGUAGUGUGACCUUAGUUUGGUGAUUUUGUGCUUUCGCAAGCAUGUGCUAUGCUUAUAUAUAUGCAUCAUCAGCAAUAUUAUGUUUGAUUUAAGUACGUAAAUAAAGAUAGAUAUAGGUGGAAUAUUUUUUUUUCUAUGUUUAUAUUCCUGUUAAUGUAUUAUAUAUAUGUUAGGUCUGGCAAUUUUUUAUCUCAUACCAUUUUUAAUUAAAUCAUUUUUAAACUAUAGUUACUAAGCCAAAAAUUAUAAUGCUCUAGAAAUAUAAUCAAUCUCAUUGUCGAAUUUUUCUAAACUAAUCUCAGAAUAAGCUCGAUAUCUCUAACAAUAUAUUAUUUAAGGCACAUAAUAUUCCAAAAAAAAUUCUGCAAAAGAAAAAGAAAUUUGUUGAGAAGUGGUUUAUUUUAGUUGAUCUCUUAUUAUAUUUAGGAAUAUGGACAAAAUGUUAUAUUUAGGAAUAUGAACAAAACAACAUUUUGUCCGAUAGAAAUUUACCCAUCAAUAUGAAUGGAUAGAAAUUUACCCAUCAACAUGAAUGGUAUGGAAAUUUGACUAAUGCUUGUAAGAUCGGAUUUGUAAAUAUUUGUGGGUGAGUUUCUUUUGACAACCGAUGGACAAAUUCAUGUCAUGUAAGACUUAUUUGACAACAUUCUAAAAUAAUGUUGCUAAAAAUAUUUAAGAAUAGUUCUGAAAAUAUGUUUUACCUGUUUUUAGGAAUAAAAUUCUAACUUAUUUUGAGAAUAUUCUUAAAAAAAAAAGAAAAAAAAAAAGAGAGAAUGUUGUUAAAACUUGUUAAGAAUAUUUUUAAAAAUAUGUUUUAUUUGUUUUUAGGAAUAAAAUUCCAUUUAAGAAGCCUAGUCCUUCGCAAAGGCAUGUGCCACCAUCUAUAAUGGAAGAAGUUCACACCUAUUUUUCAUUUUUUUUUUGUUCUUUUUUUAAAACACUUGCAUAGCUUCUGGAUUAAAGUUCUUAAAGAUUAUUUUCAAAAUUUGAUGUAAUAAUUUAAAAAAAAAUUACUAUAAAUAUAUAUAUAUAUAUAUAGAGUUACUAUUAUUUUUAAUUUUACAAAAUAAAAAACAAAAAAUGUACCUAAAGGAUACCUUAAUUUCAACUUAUUAACUAUAUGUAAAAUUAAAAGUAUUUUUCUCCUUUUCAACUUGUUACAUACUUCAGUGCUUGUAUAUUGCUUCCAUACCAUAUGAUAAGAUGUGGCUAAAAUUGAUCUUCAUGUCAAGAAUUGGAAGCCUUCAAUAUGUUGUAAUUGCUUAAAAGAUUUCGCUUUGAGUUAUGUUUCUUGUGGGGUGAUGGCAAAGAAAACCAACAAAUUAAUAGAAAAACUAUAAAUAUAAUUCAGAAUUAAGGAAAAAAGAAAUACAAUAUUGAAGGUGCAGUAGAAUAAAAAGGAGUGUGGGCAUGAAUGAUAUGUAAAAACUCACCCAAUAGAAUCCUUUAUGAAGUAAAUAUUUUCAUAUCAUACGAUCCAAUGUUAAUCCUUCAUAACCUAUGGAACUGUAGAACCUUGAGAGGAAAAAAGCCACUCACAAAUUAUGACACAAACAGAAACUAGGAACAGUGGAAGAAAAUUGAAAAACUGAUCUCCCUUUCCGAGUCCAGCAACAAAAUUAGUGUCCAACCUUAAAAUGGGCAUGUGUGGUAUUGACGAGAGAUGCUAAGAUGGAAAUCAUAACCAUAGUCAUGUUCUCUCUGUGUCUUUGUGUCUUUCUAACCCACUUUUUUUAAGAAAAUAAUAGACCAAGACUAUAAUUAUCAAUUAUGACUUUAUUGUUUAAUUUAUAUUCUUUAACAAUUUUUUUAUUUUUUUAAGAAUAAUUUGUUUUACUAUAAUGGUAGGUGAUGAAUUUAUUUUCUUAAUAAAAGGCCUCCCAAUAAGGCAAUAGUUUCAUGUUUUUUUUUUAUCCUCUGCUUUUGUUGCAACUCUUCUGCUUCCGACCUUUCAUUAACCUAAAUAUUAGAAGUUUCUAAUUCAGUCCAUUGCACUCCAGUUGUCUAAAUACGGAAGCUUCUUCCACGACCCAGUUGCACUUUGGAAAGUUAAGCUUAAGAUUUACGAAGUUUCUGAAAAUUACAGUUUAUUUAGUUUCUAAAAUCCAAUUAGCUAGAUAUUUUAUUUGAUUUCUUUUUAUAUUUAAGUAGUUGAGUUUUGGAAAGUUUUUAUAUUUUAUUAAUAGAAAAAAAAAAUUUAUAUUUUUUAUUAUUAGGAAUUUCUAUUUUGUUAAAUUGUAAGUAUCUAUCUCAAUAAGAGAUUAUUAAUAUUCGAAUGAAAGUGAUGAAAGAUAGUAAAUAUUUUAAUGCUCCUCAAUUAUAUUUUAAUGUUAUUUUUUUACAUGAGGGUUAAUUCAAUUUUAAUUUCAACAUGUAAUAUGUUAAAAAUAUUAUAAAAUAGAACUAUAAAGGAGUAUUUACUUAUUUUAUAAUAUUUUCAAUCUACAAUUUUCAAAAAUCAAUAUUUAAAAAAGGUAUUAAAACAUCCCUUCUCUUCAAUAUAAAAGCAUUAUUGUAACAUAUUGUGGACCCCGCAUUUUGCCCAAUGCGUUCCCACUCGAUGACAAAACUCGCUUUCUAUUUAUUUUGUGAAAAAUAUGAUUUUUUUCAAAAGACUUAGAGUCGCCACUUAUUUUUGUUUUAUUUUUAAAGGAAAAACAAAAUAAGAAAGAAAAACCCUAAAUGUGAUUCCUUAUUUGGAAAAAAUAGGUCUGUGAAAAAUCACGUCGGGUCCGAGGGUCAGGUUACUUAUUGGAAAAGUACGGUGGUGAGCCAUAACACCCCUCUAAGUCCAUAAAAACGGGUCUCUACUAAUAAAAUGAAGCAAACAUGACAAUUGGUAAGGAAAUCAAUGGAUACAAAAGUGAUCACAAAUUAAAAGUAAUCAUGAUAAUGAAUAAAUGAACGAAGUGAGAGCGAGAGUGUACCUUGGCAGCAGGUAAUAAAGCGUUAUUAUGAAACAAAGUUAGUGCACAAUAACAAAUACAAAAUAUAUCACAUGCAUGUCAAAUAUUAGAACAAAAAAAAAAAAAAUAUUCAUUAGGCAUAGCAAUUAACAAUCAGAAGAGAAAUCUCAUAUGUAGGGUCCCCCACCAAAGCCCAAUUUAUCUUGCAUGCAUUGGUCUCACAAAUUUUAUUAUUUCGAAAUUAUGAAAAAUUCAUUCUUACUUAUGAAAAAUCAAAAGAAACAGAAGAUUAUUUGAAAACCGGAGUGGAAUUAAAACUGUUCAAAAUUUGUUUGAAAAUUGGAGUCUCGAAAAUUAUUUGAAAAUUGGAGUCUUGGGAAUUAAAUUUAAGAAUUGGAAUUUUGGAAAUUAAAUUUGAAAGAAAUUGGAAUUUUUUAAAAUUAUUUAAGAAUUAGAGUUUUUAAAAUUAUAUUAAGGAAUUGGAACUUUAGAAAUUAAAUUUGAAAGAAAUUAGCAAAUUAUUUGAGAAUUAGAGUUAUGAAAAUUAAAUUAUGAAAAUUGGAAUCUUGGAAAUUAUUUGAAGAUGGAAAAAAUAAACAAAAUAAUAAUAGUAAUAAUAAAUAAAUAAAUAAAUAAAUGUGAAAAUUGGAAUUUCGGAAAUUGGAAAUUAAAUUCGGAAAUUGAAAAAUUGGAAUUUCAAAAAUUGAGAAUUAAAAUUGAAAAUCAGAAUUUUGAAGAAUUAUUUACAAAUGGAAUUUUAAAAAUAAAUUAAUUAAUUAAAUAAUGAUAAUAACGAAGAUAACAAUGAUUAAAUAAAUAAAUUUGAAAAUUAGAAUUUUGGAAAUUGGAAAUUAAAUUCGAAAAUUAGAAAAUUGGAAUUUAGGAAAUUCGGAAUUGAAUUUGGAAAUCGGAAUUUUGAAGAAUUAUUUAAAAAUAGAAUUUUAAAAAUAAAUUAAAUAAUGAUAAUAACGAAUAUGAUAAUGAUUAAAUAAAUAAAUAUGAAAAUUAGAAUUUUAGAAAUUGGAAAUUAAAUUCGGAAAAUUGUAAUUUAGGAAAUUGGAAAUUGAAUUUGGGAAUCGAAAUUUUGAAGAAUUAUUUAAAGAUGAAAUUUUAAAAAUAAAUAAAUUAAUUAAUUAAAUAAUGAUAAUAACGAAGAUAGCAAUGAUUAAAUAAAUAAAUUUGAAAAUUAGAAUUUUGGAAAUUGGAAAUUAAAUUCGGAAAUUGAAAAAUUGGAAUUUUGGAAAUUGGGAAUUGAAUUUGGAAAUCGGAAUUUUGAAGAAUUAUUUAAAGAUGAAAUUUUUGAAAACUUGAUUUAAAAGGAGAUGGAGUUUCAAAAAUUUAUUUGAAGGUGUCAUUUUAAAAAUUAAAUUUAGAAUUGUGGAAUUUUUGGAAGAUUAAAAUUAAAAUUUUGAAUUUGGGAAAAUUAAAUUUAAAGUUAGAGUUUUAGAAAAUUAUUUCAAGAAUUGAAUUUUGAAGAAUUAAAUUUAAAAUAUUGAAGUUUUGGAAAAUUGAACUUAAGAUCUGAAAUUUCGUAAACUAAAUUUAAAAAUCAAAUUUUACAAGAUUAUUUCGAAAAGGGUACUUAUAUAUAUAUAUAUAUAUAUAUAUUAAUAAAAUAAUAAAUAAAUAGAUAAAUAAAAAUAAAUAAAUAAAGCAAAUAAAAUGAAUGAAUAAAUGAAUAAAUUUGAAACUUUGGGAUUUUAGAAGAAUUAUUUGAUAACAGAAUUUAAAAAAAAAAUGAAAUUUUUAACAUGAAAAGUGGAAUUACGAAGAUGGCACGUGAAAGAAAAGAUAAAAAACUAAUAAUAAUUCACCAUGAGGCCACUGGACCCAUGCCACUAAUAAAAAAAAAACUCAUGCCUUUGACUUUUCAUUCACCAAUUGUUUAAACAAUUUCCUACUGUCAAUGAACCACCAAGAAGUGGAGUAAUGAAGCCCCACUUCUCCACGAAAAAAAAAAAAACACCAGUAUGUAUCUGACUAGUGAUGACAAACUGUGGUGGCGAACAAGGAUAGAAGACGAUGUAGAGUUUGGAAGGCCCCAAAUCACCACUUGGGAGACUUUGAAGAAGGAAUUGAAGGAUCAGUUCCUUCCCACCAACAUUGCUUGGGUGGCCAAAGAAGCGUUGAAAAGGGUCAAACACACCGGAUCUGUAAGGGACUACGUCAAGGAAUUCAGUUCCUUGAUGCUGGACAUAAAGAACAUGUCAGAUGAGGACAAGCUCUUCAAUUUCAUGUCUAGAUUGCAAGGGUGGGCUCAAACGGAACUUAGGAGGCAAGAGAUUCGUGAUCUCCCUGUUGCCAUGGUUGCAGCAGAUUGCCUGGUGGACUACAAGAUGGGUGGCGCCAUCUCCACCAUGUAGAGACCUAAGUCAGAAGGAGGUAAGAAGGCUAAGGUUGAGGGCAAGACUUCUAAGAAAUCUGGGUGGAAGAAACAGAACAAGAAGCCUGUUGUAGAGGGAAAACCAGUGGAAAAGACCAUAAAGUUUGUGCAGCAGACCACCCGGAUGGUAGGAUGUUUCAUCUGCAAUGGCCCUCAUCGAGCCAGAGACUGCCCCAAAAGAAAGAAACUCUCAGCCCUUGUGACUGUAGACGACAAGGGAGAGUCUGACUUAGAGACUCCUCUUAGAGUCAACCCACUGCAACUCCUGAACGUGAUUAAUGGUGAGACUCCAGUCCAUAAGUCCCUAAUGCAUGUCCAUGCAGUUGUAAAUGGUGUGCAGGUGAAGGCCUUGGUGGACAGUAGUGCCACGCACAACUUCGUGGCCACCAGAGAAGCAACCAGGUUGGGAUUGAAGUUGGAAGAGGAUACUAAUUAGAUCAAGGCAGUCAAUAGCAAAGCCCAGAAAAUCCAAGGGGUAGCAAAGAAUGUCCCCAUGCAAAUUAGUGACCGGAAGGGCACAUGCAACCUACUUUGUGUACCCUUGGACGACUUCAACUUGAUCAUCGGUGUAGAUUUCCUCUUGAGGGCUAAGGUGGCCUUGAUCCCACAUCUUGGUGGGCUGGUGGUGUUAGAAGAAAAGCAGUCUUAUUUCAUGAAGGCCUUGAGGGUGAAGGAUGGUGGCAAGGGUUAACAUGAGAUGCUGUCUACUAUCCAUUUGAAGAAGGGAUUGAAGAGGGGUCAGGAGACUUAUGUUACAACCUUGAUCGAGAUCAAGGAGAGAUAGUCUGUGGAAGUCCCUGAUUCAGUGGUCAAAAUCCUUAAGGAGUUCAGAGAUGUGAUGUCUGCAGAACUCCCCAAAGAAAUGCCACCUAGGCGGCCUAUUGACCACAAGAUUGAAUUGCUACCUGGAACAAAGGCCCCGGCUUAAGCUCCUUACAGGAUGCCUCCUGCGGAGUUGUUGGUGUUACGUAAGUAAUUGAAGGAACUGUUGGAUGCAGGCCUGAUCCAGCCCUCAAGGGCCCCAUAUGGUGCACCAAUGAUGUUCCAAAAGAAGCAUGAUGGCUCUCUCCGCAUGUGUGUAGAUUAUAGAGCUCUCAACAAGGUGACCAUCAAGAACAAGUACCCGAUCCCCUUGGCUGCCGAGCUGUUUGACAGAUUGUCAAAAGCCUCUUACUUCACCAAGUUGGACCUAAGAUCGACUACUGGCAAGUGCGAAUUGCAGUAAGAGAUGAGAAGAAUACCACCUGUGUAACUCGGUAUGGAUCAUACGAGUUUCUGGUAAUGCCAUUUNNNNNNNNNNNNNNNNNNNNNNNNNNNNNNNNNNNNNNNNNNNNNNNNNNNNNNNNNNNNNNNNNNNNNNNNNNNNNNNNNNNNNNNNNNNNNNNNNNNNUAAUGCCCCUGCUACAUUCUGCAAUUUGAUGAAUGAUGUUCUGUUUGAUUACUUAGAUGCAUUUGUGGUAGUGUAUCUAGAUGAUAUUGUGGUUUACAGUAAGACUCUAACAGAACAUGAGAAACACUUGAGAUUGGUGUUUCAGAGAUUGAGGGAGAACAUGCUUUAUGUAAAGCCAAAGAAAUGUGAGUUUGCUCAGGAGGAUAUCACAUUUCUAGGACACAAGAUCAGUGCAGGUCUGAUCAAGAUGGAUAAAGGCAAGGUGCAGGCUAUUAUGGAGUGGCCAGUCCUUAGCAAAGUGACUGAGUUGCGGUCCUUCCUUGGCUUGGCCAAUUACUACAGAAGGUUCAUUAAGGGGCAUUCAAAGAGGGUGUCUCCCCUUACUGACCUAUUGAAGAAGGACAACCAGUGGAGUGGAGCAUGUAGUGUCAGAUGGCCUUUGAAGGCUUGAAGGAAGCCAUCUCCACUGAGCUUGUGCUACGUUUGCCAGACUUAGACUUACCCUUUGAAGUCCAGACAAAUGCCUCAAAUAGAGCUUUGGGUGGAGUCUUGGUGCAAGAAGGGCACCCUAUGGCAUUUGAAAGUAGGAAGUUGAAUAAUGUUGAGCAGAGGUACUCCACUCAUGAGAAGGGGAUGAUAAUUGUGGUUCACUGCCUGCAGCAGUGGAGACACUACUUAUUGGGAAGCAUUUUUACAGUGGUCACUGAUAAUGUGGCCAACACCUUCUUCAAAACUCAAAAGAAGCUGAGUCCCAGACAAACACGAUGGUAGGAGUUCCUGGCCAACUUCAAAUUUGAAUGGCUGCAUCGACCAGGAAGACAUAACACUGUGGCUGAUGGCUUCAGUAGGAAAGAGGUGAUUGCCUACAUCAUGGCCCUCUCAGAAGUCAUCUUUGACUUCAAUAAGAAAAUCAAGCAAGUUGCAGAGUAGGAUGCUGCAUAUGGCAGGUUGAAGCGGCAAGUUAAGGAGGGUGUGAUAAGGAGGUAUUGGCUAGAGGGAGACCUCCUUGUGGCAAAAAGAGGAAGAUGGUAUGUUCCUGCAGGCGGCCUGAGAAAUGAAUUAUUGCAGAAAACUCAUGACGCAAAGUGGGCAGGUCAUUCCGGUGAAGAGAAGACUCUGGCACUGCUAGCCAUAUCCUACUAUUGACCUAAGAUGGGUGAGGAUGUCCAGGCAUAUGUGAAAUCCUAUCUGGUUUGUCAGAUGGACAAGACCAAGAUGAAGAAGGUUGUAGGGUUGCUACAACCCCUCUCCAUUCCAGAGAAACCUUAGGAGAGCAUUUCCAUGGAUUUCAUCACUGGAUUUCCAAAGGUUUGUGACUUUAAAUCUAUCUUUGUUGUUGUAGAUAGAUUCUUUAAGUAUGUUGUGUUUAUACCUGCCUCUGAUGCUUGCUCUACGGAGGAAGCGACUAAGUUGUUUUUCAGUAAUGUUGUCAAGCACUUUGGGUUGCCUAGGGACAUAGUCAAUGAUCGAGAUGCACGGUUCAUAGGCCGAUUUUGGGUUGAGUUGUUCAAACUCUUGGGUUCAUAGUUGAAGUUUUCUACAGCCAACUACCCUCAUACUGUCGGUACUCGCACGGAUUCUACCAUUUCCCGGUAUUCGCCGGGAUUUUACGAUUUUUCGUUAUUCGCUCGGAUUCUACCAUUUUCAUUUAGUCACACUGAUUCAACCCUUUUCCGGUACUCGCCCGAACAGUUUUUCGGUACUCGCACGGAUUCUACCAUUUCCCGGUAUUCGUUGGGAUUUUACGAUUUUUCGGUAUUCGCCCGGAUUCUACCAUUUUCAUUCAGUCACACUGAUUCAACCCUUUUCCGAUACUCGCCCGGAGAGUUUUUCGGUAUUCGCACGGAUUCUACCAUUUCCCGGUAUUCGCCGGGAUUUUACGAUUUUUCGGUAUUCGCUCGGAUUCUACCAUUGUCAUUUAGUCACACUGAUUGAACCCUUAUCCGGUACUCGCCUGGAGAGUUUUUCGAUACUCGCACGGAUUCUACCAUUUCCCAGUAUUCGGUUGGAUUUUACGAUUUUUCGGUAUUCGCUCGGAUUCUACCAUUUUCAUUUAGUCACACUGAUUCAACCCUUUUUCGGUACUCGCCCGAACAGUUUUUCAGUAGUCGCACGGAUUCUACCAUUUCCUGGUAUUCGUUGGGAUUUUACGAUUUUUCGGUAUUCGCUCGGAUUCUACCAUUGUCAUUUAGUCACACUGAUUGAACCCUUAUCCGGUACUCGCCUGAAGAGUUUUUCGAUACUCGCACGGAUUCUACCAUUUCCCGGUAUUCGGUUGGAUUUUACNNNNNNNNNNNNNNNNNNNNNNNNNNNNNNNNNNNNNNNNNNNNNNNNNNNNNNNNNNNNNNNNNNNNNNNNNNNNNNNNNNNNNNNNNNNNNNNNNNNNCAUGACGCAAAGUGGGCAGGUCAUUCCGGUGAAGAGAAGACUCUGGCACUGCUAGCCAUAUCCUACUAUUGACCUAAGAUGGGUGAGGAUGUCCAGGCAUAUGUGAAAUCCUAUCUGGUUUGUCAGAUGGACAAGACCAAGAUGAAGAAGGUUGUAGGGUUGCUACAACCCCUCUCCAUUCCAGAGAAACCUUAGGAGAGCAUUUCCAUGGAUUUCAUCACUGGAUUUCCAAAGGUUUGUGACUUUAAAUCUAUCUUUGUUGUUGUAGAUAGAUUCUUUAAGUAUGUUGUGUUUAUACCUGCCUCUGAUGCUUGCUCUACGGAGGAAGCGACUAAGUUGUUUUUCAGUAAUGUUGUCAAGCACUUUGGGUUGCCUAGGGACAUAGUCAAUGAUCGAGAUGCACGGUUCAUAGGCCGAUUUUGGGUUGAGUUGUUCAAACUCUUGGGUUCAUAGUUGAAGUUUUCUACAGCCAACUACCCUCAUACUGAUGGGCAGACUGAGAGAAUCAACGCCUUGCUGGAAGAAUACCUCAAGCAUUAUGUGACAGCAAUACAAAAGAAUUGGGUGGAUUUGUUAGAUACUGCCUAGUUGUGUUAUAAUCUGCAGAGGAGCUCAACAACAAGGAUGAGUCCCUUUGAGCUGGCUAUUGGGGUACAGCCACAGAUGCCUUUGGAGGUAGCUAAGCAAAAAGCAGAAGGAGGUAGUCCUGCAGCUUACAAGAUGGCUCAAUCCCGGCAUGAGAUGUUUGAUGAAGCCCGGGACAGUCUAGAGAAGGCAGUUAGAUGAAUGAAGAAGUAUGCGGAUCAUGACCGCAAAUCCUUGGAAUUUUAGGUUGGGGACAAGGUCCUCUUGAAAUUGACUCAUAAGAUAUGGAAGAAAAUCAGUAGCAAGACAAGGCAGAGGAGUCUAAUUCCUAAGUAUGAUGGACCAUUCGAGGUGAUAAAACGAGUUGGGCAGAUGACCUACAUGUUGAAGCUGCCUGAGAGGCUCAAGCUUCACCUAACUUUCCAUGUUAGCUUUCUAAAUCUUUACCAUGAGGAUCUGGAUGUAGAGAGAGUGCAAAUAAAGCGGGCCCUUCUCUUGGUCAUGAAGCAGUUUGAUCGAGAGAUAGAGAAAAUCUUAAAUCAUAGGACCAUGGGACAUAGCAGAAAGAACCGACGAACUGAUUUCUUGGUUUAGUGGAAGUGGACUUCAAAAGUAGAAGCUACAUGGGAGAGGAAUGUUACCUUAUGGCAAUUUGAGACGGCGGUCCAAACAUAUUGGUAGACUAAGUCGACGAGGGUGUCAACUUCAAUAGGCGGGGGUGGGUUUGUCAGCCCCUUAACCACUUGACUCUACCAUGGAGGAAAAGGCCUCAUGGGUAAACCUUGCACCCAUGAGAGCCUAGACGGAGAAAGCAAGGAAGACUUAGAGGUUUGGUGGUUCAAACUCCAAGAGCUAAGUGAGAAGGCCAUGUGUGAGCUAGACACGCACCGUGGACGAGCCUGACGCACACCGUGCGUGCAUCGCGAGCGAGUCAAACAAGCACCGCGUGCGCAUUAGAUGGGCACCGCGUGCACACUAGAUGGGCAUCGCGCGCGCACCAAUCUUAGGUAGUGCAGAUGAAGGCUGAAGGCUACUUUUGGAAUUUAAUUUAUAUUUAUUUAAUAUUCCAUUAUGUCUCAUCAGGCAUAUUAAUGUCUCCUCCAGAAACAAUGAAAACGACUUGUAUUACUCUUUAGGGGGGGGGGGGGGGGGGGGGGGGGGGGGGGGAGGAGGUAAGCAACUCAAAAAGGGAAGCACCAAGGGAAAGCCUUGACCGCACCAAGAGGGCACCAUGACACGACCUUGGGCGUGCCUAGGACACACGGAUAGGACUCGAGCACGCACACAUGGGCUCCACGACAUGUGUGGUGUGCACCACGUGGCCACAACGGCACGGGGCCUGGUGCGGCCUACCUCCUCCUCGUGUAGGCAUGAGGACGCCUAAACCUUGUGCAGUGAGCCAGUUGAGGAAGUCAUGGGCGCAAUACCAUGGCUUGAUGGGGCAUUAAACAACAAUUGACUAGCACCCAUGAUGCCUACGUACAGCACAAGGGCGCAAUGCCCUGUGCACUAAGAGGGAUCAGUCAUGAACGCAAUGUCAUGGCUCGUUGCUAUGAAGUUGGACCUCACAUUGGAAGCAAGCAACAUGCCCAAGCCAUGGGCACCUAAACAUGACAUGGGCUCACAUAUCAGUGUGGGGAAGACACACUGAUGCACCAGACACUUGGUCAGCUGGUUGGUGCACGUUGCCUAGUUCUGAAGGCCUUGAUCAAAGACACGCUGGUGGGCACCAGGUCAUAAGAGGCACCUUGCGGGAAAGGAGGCAACUUGUUAAGGGGACUCUUCAGCAGCUUGGUGAGAAAGGCUUGAGGAGAUGGCAAUGCAACAAGCUAGUGGCAGCUAGUUGGGAUAGCAAGUGAUCAAGUCAAGCAGCCAAUUGACUUGCAGUUGGCUGAGGUGUUGAUGGCUGGUGCAAGUGGGUGGUUCACGAGCAGGCCACUAUCUGGGUGGUGGGUGGUUAUGCAGGACAGUUAUGGGCGCAUUUGGCCAAUUGCAUAACCACUAGAUUGGCUUCAACUUUUAAAUUUGGUAAUUCAAAAAUGUAACUGCAGAAUGAGUCUUUUAAAAGGGCUCCUGCAUCCUUGAAAUAGAGAGUGAGAGAUUGGGAUAGGGUUCUCUUAAUGCUUGGGGUGUGAAGUAUUGUACUAUGACUCAGGGGAAACAAUUUUGUCUUGUAGAGUGAAUUAAUACAAGUUGGGAAAGGUUUCCUGUAAAUCGUUGGUGUCCCUGUUACUGUGCUUUUACUUUGCUUUUACUCUAUUUUUGAAAAGGCUGGGAAGGAAGGUUGGCUAAGGAAGGGUCCUUAGCACCGCACACUCGUGAAAAAUUUAGUGUGAUCUUCAGGGGGGUGUAACAGUGAGUAUAGUGUCGGGUUUGAGCAUCUCCAAGCAUUUCAAUAUGGUUCAAAUGGCUCUCAAACAUCCAGAAAUUCCCAACAGUAUGAAAAAUGGCUCUCAUGGUGCUCUCCCAGAAACACCUCCACCCAAGAUGGCCAACCUCAAACGUAAUGCCCAACACUCUAAAAUAUACCAAAAGCAGAGGAGAAAGUAAACAAAAGCAAAGCAUGCACAAACGUAAAUGAUACCGUUAAACCUAGCUCCAUUUCAUAAAGAUCAAUGGGCUGGAUAUAGGCGGAACCAAAAGAAAGCAAGAACGUGAUCUUCAAAACCUUAUUCAAGCAUCAAGAUGAACCCAAAAUUGGCGGGAAAUGAAAUAGAACAAACCGAAAUGGGAAAUGCAAAGCAUGCUAAAAUCAUACCUGACCAAAACGACAGGCUUUUCCUCUGCUCAAACUCGGAAUGUCCCUUUCUCCUAUCUUUCUUAGCUAGCUCUGCUACCCUUCCUCCAUGUCUCCUAUCAGCUGGGUUUUUCUUAUUUUCUCAGCCCGCUUCAUAACCACCAGAAAAACGAAAAAAAAUCUCUUCUUACCUCCUUCCAGCUUACUUCUCCUCCAAGCUAUAUCCAUAUCCCAUCUCAUUUGGCAACCCAAUAGCUCACCCAUCAGUCCUCUUUGGCUGCCCCAAAAACAGCUCACUUCUAAGGUAGUCAGAAAAAGAAAAAAAGAAGAAAGAAGGAAAAAAAAAAUGCUUCCAUCCGAGGGGGUCUACACAUAUACAUUUUGUUCUAAUUUUCUAAUAGUUGUGCACAGUUGAAGGGAAAACAAUUUGAUUUUCUAAUUAAUAUUACUUUUAUAAAUACUUUAAUUACUUUUAUAAAAUUGAUUCAUAAUGAUUUUAUUAUUUCUUUGGAACUCAUAAAAUAAAUCUAAUUACGACAGAAAAAGAAAAAGAGAAAAGUGAGUUUUGAUCACUAAUUUGAAAAAUACAAAAAUAAAAAACUUCAGCUUUUAUAAAUCAUUUGUAUCUUCAUUUAUUUAAAAUUAUUUUAAAAUACAUGCACUUUUUUAUAACUCAAAUAAUUAUUUCCUAAAAUGACCUUAUUAUUUAUGAUGUUAAUAAUAUCAUUUUUUUUUAACCAUGAGAACCUAUUUGAGAUUAAUAAAAUGAGAAAUUUUAAAAAUUUUAAAUACAAUUAAAACUAAAAAAACUUUAAAGUUAAAAAUAUAAAAAUAAAAUAUUAUAUUUUUUUAUUAUAUUUUUGGUUUUUAAUUGUAUUUAAUUUUUAUGUAUUUUAGUUUUAAUUAUAUUUUUAAAUUUUAUAAAUUUCUUAUGUUAUCCUUAAUUGAUGUCAACUAAUAAAAUUUAUAUUCAAUUUUAUUUAUUUUUUUUAAAUGAGAAGAUGUGGGGGUUUAUCUAAUACAAAACAUAAAAUCAUAUUAACUAGGGGAUUAACAAGAUUUUAUUUAUUACUUGAUGAUGUUGGAAAAUUUUUCCACGAUGAUUUGUAUCUUAUGUUAUAUAAUAAAAUUUUAUAAUAUAUUUAUUUAUAAAAUAUUUUUAUCAAAUUAAAAUAAUAAAUUUGGAUAAAUUCAUUUAAUAUUAUCAAAUAAAAAUGUAUUUUAGGAAAUAAUUAUUUAACUUAUGAAAAAGUGUAUAUAUUUUAAAAAAAAUUAAAUGGAUAAAGAUAAAAUUGAUUUAUAAAAUUUAAUUUUUUUUUUCUAUAUUUUUUCAAAUUAGGUUAAAACCCACUUUUUCUCAAAAAAAUAAUAGACCAAAUCUAUAAUUAUCAAUUACAAACCUACAAUUAUCAAUUAUGACUUUAUUGUUUAAUUUAUAUUCUUUAACGAAUUUUUAAAAUUUUUAAGAAUAAUUUGUAAUUCAAAAAAUUGGUCCAUUUAAUUACAAAUUAAAUAAAAAAUUCCAUAAUAUGUUGUUAUCCUUGUAUGUAAUAAAAAACUCGGAUUAUUUAUAUGUUAUAAAAGUUAAAAUUUAUUUAUUUUUAAAUUAAUUUUAUAUAAAAUAUUAUUAAUUGUUAUUAUUUUUAAACAAUUAUUAUUCAUUUUUUAAAAAAAAUAAUUAUACUUUUACAAAAAUAUUAAUAUCCAUAUUUUUAUAAUAUAUAUUAAAAUAGUAUAUUUUUAUGAAAAAAAAAAUAAUUUUAUGACUUUAUUAUAAUAUUACUAUUCAUAUUUCACUAAAUUUAAUUUAUUUGUAACAACAAAAAAAACUAUUUUCAUUUUUAAUAAAACUUAAAUUAAAUCUAAUUAAUAUGGUAUAAAUAGAAUUUAUAACAUUUUUACAAAAUCAAAAUAGAAAAAAAAAAUUAAACCAAUUUAUUCAAAUAAACUUGUUUUUUCUUUUUUCUAAAUAUUUUUAAAAACAAUUUAUCUAAUACUCUUAUUUUUAUAAAAUAUUAAAAUAACAAUUUUUUUAUUUAAAAAAAAACAUGAAAAAAGCAUGGUCACAACAAACCUAAAAAUAAUUAUGAUUCUAUGUACUUUUUCAUUAAAUGUGCUAUUUUUUACCAUUCACGUGUUAUGCCUUACUGAUGUAGAUCAAAGUUACGCAUAAGAUUAAAAAUGAUUUUUGUACUGUUGCUAUUUUGACGGGUUUUUUUUUUUUCAAAUGAAACAUGCUUUUUGCCCUUUUUGCCCCCACUCUGAUUGAGGGUUUGGUUUAUUUCACUAGCACGGAGCCCUCUCCAUCUGCCAGCCUACCUGACAACUCUGAACCGCUCUUUAAGUCUUUGUUUUUCCUCUUUCAUCAAUGACACAAAUAACUCUCACAUCAGGCGUUUUAAUCUAUUACUGCCACAGGCCCACAAGCAUCAGACAAGGUAUUAAUAGAGGCUUCUCUUUGAUACACCUCAAUAACCAUCCAUGUAAGAUAUGUAUAUUAAACACUAUGAUUCAAUACAUUAUUAUAUACAAACCAGAUGAACCCAGUUACCCACAACCUAGCUUAUUAUAAUUUUUUUAUUUGAAUUAAAUUAAAUGAUUUCAUAAUAAUACUUUUUUUUAUUUUGAAAUAAUAGGUGUUGUGCAAUUUGUUUUACUUUAUUGGUAGGUUAUGAAUUAUUAUUAUUAAUAGUAAUAGUAAUAUAAUUCAAUUAAUAUUUUGUAGGAUACUCAAAAGCUUUAUAUGCACGUAACAAAAUAAAAAGACUUACGAAGACUUAAAAUUAAUGUAAUAUCUAUUCAAUUUACAUAAAUAAGUAUGAUUGUGUGAAAAAGGAGAUAAAUGAAAAAGGUAAAGAAGGUGAACAAUAAUAAAUUUGAAGGAUAUGGGAAAUAUUUGGUUAAAUUAAUAAAGAUAAAAUUGAUUCAUAAAAUUUAAGUUUUUUUUUUUAUAUUUUUUUAAAUUAGUGGGUCAAAACCCACUUUUUCUCAAAAAAUAAUAGAUCAAAACUAUAAUUAUCAAUUAUAACUUUAUUGUUUAAUUUAUAUUCUUUAACAAAUUUUUAAAAUUUUUAAGAAUAAUUUGUAAUUCAAAAAAUUGGUCCAUUUAAUUACAAAUUAAAUCAAAAUUUCCAUAAUAUGUUGUUGUCGUCGCAUGUAAUAAAAAGCUCGGAUUAUUUUAUAUGUUAUAAAAGUUAAAAUUUAUUUAUUUUUAAAUUAAAUUUAUAUAAAAUAUUAUUAAUUAUUAUUAUUUUUGAGCAAUUAUUAUUCCUUUUUAACAAAAAAUAUAUAUUUUUACAAAAAUAUUAAUAUCCAUAUUUUUAAAAUAUAUAUUAAAAUAGUAUAUGUUUUUAUGAAAAAUAUAAUUUUAUGACUUUAUUGUAAUAUUAUUAUUCAUAUUUUACUAAACACUAUUUAUGUUAAUUUAUUUGUUAUAACAAAAACUAUUUUCAUCUUUAAUAAAACUUAAAUUAAAUCUAAUUAAUAUGGUAUAAAUUGAAUUUAUAACAUUUUUACAAAAUCAAAAUAGAAAAAAAAAAUUAAAACCAAUUUAUUCAAAUAAACCUUUUUUCUUUUUUCUAAAUAUUUUUAAAAACAAUUUAUCUAACACUUAUUUUUAUAAAAUUUUAAAAAAACAAACAUGAAAAGAACAUGGUCACAACAAACCUAAAAUAAUGACGAGUCUGAACCGCUCUUUAAGUCUUUGUUUUUAUUUCACUCAGACGGAGCCCUCUCCAUUUGCCAGCCAGCCUGACAAGUCUGAACCGCUCUUUAAGUCUUUGUUUUUCCUCUUUCAUUAAUGACAAAAAUAACUCUCAUAUCAGGCGUUUUAAUCUAUUACUGCCACAAGCAUCAGACAAGGUAUUAUUAGAGGCUUCUCUUUGAUACACCUCAACAACCAUCCAUGUAAGAUAUGUAUAUUAAACACUAUGAUUCAAUACAUUAUUAUAUACAAACCAGAUGAACCCAGUUACCCACAACCUAGCUUAUUAUAAUUUUUUUUAUUUGAAUUAAAUUAAAAGAUUUCAUAAUAAUACUUUUUUUUUUUUUUUUGAAAUAAUAGGUGCUGUGCAAUUUGUUUUACUUUAUUGCUAGGUUAUGAAUUAUUAUUAUUAGUAGUAAUAGUAAUAUAAUUCAAUUAACAUUUUGUAGGAUACUCAAAAGGUUUAUAUGCGACAUAACGGAAUAAAAAGACUUACGAAGACUUAAAAUUAAUGUAAUAUCUAUUCAAUUUAUAUAGAUAAGUAUGAUUGUGUGAAAAAAGAGAUAAAUGAAAAAGGUAAAGAAGGUGAAAAAUAAUAAAUUUGAAGGAUAUGGGAAAUAUUUGGUUAAAUUUCAAACUAAUGGUAAAUAAGUAUUUUUAACCUCUAUACAGGGGGAAGUGAGUAAAAUUAUUGAAUGUAGCCAAAAAUAUAAAUAAGGUACUAGAGGCUUCUAAAUAAACGUGGAUAUGAGAAAAGGUAUAUUUAUAAAAAUUAAAUAAAAUUGUUGAAGAAACUAUUAAACUAUAAUCUAAUGCUUUACAAUCUUGUAUAAUGAGAUUAACCUAAAUUAUUAACGAAAUAUCUUAUUAUAUUUUUUAUUUAAAUUAAAUCAAAAAAAUUUGAUAAUAAUGAUUUCAUUUUUAUCUUAGGAGUAAUAGGUGUUCCUUGUGUUCUUUUGUGAUCUCUUGUGUCUAUAAUUAUAUUACUUUUUCUCACACACUCUCUUACUUGGUUAUUUGUUUGUCUUAUGUGUGCAUAUCAUAGGAUUGUUCAUUGGUGGAUGUUGUAUGGUAAUUGUAAUUUGUGCGAUUAAGGAUGAUGUUUAGUUUAGAUGAAUGUCCUUGACAAAUUUGUAAACUCCAUUUGAGAAUUUUAGGGGUUUAUGUAAUUUAUAUUUUGUCACAAGAUUGUCAAAAGGGGGAAAUUGUUAAUUAGUGCAUUAGGCUACUUAGUUUAAAUUAAAAAUUUUGUUCAAUCCAUCUUCACUUACAGACUUUUUUAGAUUAUUAUGUUUUACUAUUUAUUAAAAACUUAAGGUUAUUGCAUGAUCAAUUGGAAUAAUAUAAGUAUAGAGAUGUUCAAGAAAAGUUAAUUGGAAUCAAUUAUAGCAUGAAAUGAAUGUUAGGCUUUAAGCUAGUGAAAAAGGUUUUAAAAUUAAUUUGAAACUACUCAUGAGCCCGAGCUCAAGCAUCACUUUUAGUGUUCAAGCCAAAAUUCUAUAGGAUACUGAAUUUUUUUUUUUUGUCAUAUUUUUAGAGGUUUAUUGAAACAAAAAUUUAAAUUUCAUCUCUUGUUUAUUAUUUAAUACAAACUUUGAAAAUAAUUUAAGUAUUAGUUUUCCCACAUUCUAAACUCUUAAAAGUUCUCAUUCUUAGAUUUAUAAGAGAGAUUUGCAUCGCGAGAUGUACACUAAGGUCACAAUCAAGAUUUACAAACUAUUCGCGUUGCAUGAUUUGUUUUACUGUAAUGGUAGGUGAUGAAUUUAUUUUAGUUCACAUGUGAAAAUGAUGGGGCUAUAAAGAAAAAGAUACAAGUUAAAGUCCGACAAUUUUUUUUUAAUUGAGAUUCAUUUAUUUAUUUUUAAUUGAGAAAAAUAAAAUAUUAAUAUUAUUAGAAACUUUAUUUAUCAAUUUUUUUACUAUACAAUUUUCAUACAUCUAAUAUGUGAACUUUUUAAUAUCAUGGCAAAAGUGAAAAACAAAAAUAAAAUAUUUAAAAAAGAUUGAUCAAAUUACCAAACCAUCUUAUACUUAAAAAUAAGGCACUUAAAAAGACAAAUGACUCUUAGAAAGAGAAUUUGUAUUUUCAUCAAUUUAAGUUCUUUAUAUAUCUAUUUUAUUUGCACACUUACCUAAUUAUUUACAAUAUACUUCAAAUAAAUUUUAUUAUAUACCUUCUUUCACCUUCUUUCCUUGUUUUUUUUUUCUUUGGCAAAAAUAUUCUUCUCUCCAACUUUUUUGUUAUAAAAACAAAAUAAUAUUUGAGAUUAGUGUAAAGCUGAUUGUAAUAUUUUAAAUGUAUUUUUUAAUUGAAGUACUCAAUUAUAUUAGGUUUAUUUCAUAUAAAUAUAUUUUGAGUUUAUUAUUUAUAUAAUUUUUUUAUUAAUAUUUGUUAGAAAAAUAAUUAAUACUUAUUAAAGUUUUUUAAAGGCAACACUUACUAUUUUUUUUUUAAGAAAUACCGACCCUAAACUAAAAAGGGUAUAAUUGAAAUUCAUAAGGGAUCAAAAUUUCAAUUACAAAUUUGAUGACCGUUUUGAAUACUUGUCAACUAAUUUUAACUAUUUUGGAUAAUUUUUCCAUCGCCAAAUUGAAAGAAAGGCAAAUAAUUACAGAGAUUCGAAUGGAUCUCUAUUUGAAAUGCCCGCUUGCCCGCCCUUCAUUUAAGGACCUUUGGUUGGUUUUUCUAUGGGUGACGGGGGAAGAGAGAAACAAGAAACCAAAGGAGGAGGGUAGCUCAUUUUGGGUCUUGCCAGUUUUUGGAGAAGGAUAGCUUACUCGAAGCCGCUUCAAGCAAUACUACUUUGGCGGACCUUUUCAGGUAUGGCAGCUGUAAGCUUCUUUUUAUUUUUUAUUUUUUAUUUAUUUGCUCCAUUUUCUGCUGAUUUUCUGAUCGAUGUGGAAAUCAAGGCUUAAAUGAUUGUUUUGCUGAAUCUGAAUUUGUUUUCAUACUAAACUCUGUUUUGAUUUUAUACUGAUCCCUUUUAUUUUUCCUGUAAAUAACUACCGUAUGGAUUGUUCUUGAGUUGGAUACUUGAUAAUCAUGCCACUGCUCUAUGCUUAUCCCACUUACGUUCAAUCCCAUGGAUAACACAAUGAAAUGUAAGAUAUGGUAUAUUUAUCAAAAUCAACAAUGAGUGCCCCUAGCAUCAGACACGGUAUUAAUAGAGGCUUCUAUUUGAUAUACCUAUCCAUCCAUGUAAGAUAUGGUAUAUUUAUCAAAAUCAAAUAAAAUUCUGUGUGAAACUAUUAAACACUAUGAUUUAAUACAUUAUAGUUAUGUACAAGCCAGAUCAGCCCAGUCACCCACCACGUAGCUUAUCUUUUUUAAUUUGAAUUAAAUUAAACUACUAAAUGCAAUAUAUUUUGAGAUAUUUCUAAAAUCUGUUUGAGAGUAUUAGAGGUUUGUGUAAUAUAUUUAGUAACAAAACUUCCAAAUGAGGGUUAUUUAGUUUAAAUUGAUAAUUAUGUUCUGUUUAGGACUUUUUUAGAUUAUUAUACCUUACUUUUUAUUGAAGAUUUAAAGUUGUUGUAUAAUCAUGAAAUGGAUGUUAAGCUUUACGGAAAAUUGAUUUUAAACUAUGUAGGAGCCAACGUUCAAGCAGUACCCCCGAUGCUCAAACCAGAGUUUUAUAAAUUCUGAAAAUUUUCUUGUUCGACAUUUAUUGAGAGUGUUUUCUUUUUAAAAAAUUUUAGAUUUCAUUCUCUAGUUUUCACUCUUGAAUGCAAACUUUGAAAGAAAAAUCUAGGUAUUGGUUUUCCCACUUACCAAACUUUUAGAAGUUUGUUUUUUGAUUCCUAGGUUUGUGAGAGUGAUUUGUAUCCCCUUUGAUAUUGAGGUUGUCCAAUGGGUGCACAUGUGGUGAUAUGUGAUGAAAAAUUAGUAUAAGUAUCAAGAGAGUAAGAUUUAUGAAUAACUUUUAUCAUGUGAAUAUGUAUACCAGUUGUUUUAUAAUGAAUUUGUGUUUUGUGAUUUCUGGUAGUUUUUCCAUUUGAAUAUUCUUGUUGAUAACUGUAGGAUGAUUUUCAGGUAAACAUAAUUAUAUCUCCUGUUAUUGACCCUUUUUUACAUUCCUCAAUUAUUAGAGAGGAAUUAAAAACAAAUAUUUUGGGCUAAAGCGAAAUAAAUGCUCUAAAAAAUAUUAGUGUUGCACAAUUUAUUUUACUAUAAUGGUAGGUGAUUAAUUUGACAAAUAUAAUAUAGGAAAGCAAUGUCACAUCCCAUUCAAAUUUUGAAAAAGGCCUAAAGUAAAUUAUAGAAAUUACAUGCUGAAAUACAAGAUUUAUGGAUUGAAGUUUCUACAGAGAUAUGUGGGGUAGCACUCUGUCUAGAUAUCUCAUUCUCGUACUAACAAUGACUGUAGAGAUCGAGAUGGACCAUUUCGUGGUGCCGCAGGAAGUAGUUGCUGAUCAGGUUGUAAAUCCUGCGGAUGGCGGUAGGCAUAUUAGAACCUUGGCCAACUUAAAAUCCGAAAUUUGUCGAACACGAGACGACACUCCAUCAGAAAAAAAUGCAAAGCUAGAAUGUCCCAAGGUUCCAAAGUCGUUGUUGCCAUCAGAUGCCAUGGGUUCUGAGUCUGACGGCCACCGCAAUGAGCCAAAAAUCAUGUCUUUGGGUCCUUACCACCAUGGCAAUCCCAAGCUCGCGCGUGGAGAAAUAAUCAAGCUUAAUUUGGCAGAACAUGCCUUUUUAUUAUUUUCGAUGUCGGAAUCAAUCUCAAUAGAGGAGGUCGAUGAAUUGUACGGCGAAAUUAGCGGUCAAGUCCAAUCGCUGAGGAGCUGUUAUGAUGCGAAGUCGACGGAGAAUUAUUCGGAUGAAGAAUUCAGUGUGAUGAUGAUGGUGGACGGGUGUGCUUUACUGUAUUAUAUGUUUCAUGCUUGCUAUGGUGAUGAACAUGACCAAGAAAAUUCCGGUAUCAGAUAUCAGGAUCUAAGGCAUCUGCAGCGGGACGCGUUGCUGCUGGAGAACCAACUUCCCUAUAAAUUACUCCUGGAACUGGGCGAAAAGGUUCCAGGAUAUGACACUAGUGAGUGGAUGGCACUAUGCUUGGAAUUCGUUGGAGUGAUUGGGGAGGAGGAGGAGGAGGAGGCGUACUCAUUCCCGCAAAAAAUGAGGAAAUUUUGCUCCGGCCCGUUCGGCCAAAUUAUUGGCCGGAGUCUGAUGAAGAGUCGGUUAUAAACCUUAAGCCUCUUCAUCUCCUCGAUCUGUACUUAAAUAAUUGGCUAGGAGCCAAACGUCCUAGCCAAAAAAAAAGCGGCGGUGGGGAAUCAGUUAGAUAUGUGAAGGAGAAGGUUAUGGCAUCAUUUAGAAAUGUGAAGGAGCUUAUGGCCGCUGGAAUCCGCAUCAAGCCUAGCCCUACGCGUUACUUGAGGGACAUUUCUUUCACUUCAAAUGUCAUCACUGGAUGCCUCAGACUUCCUAUCAUCACUAUUGAUAACUCAACCAAGGAUUUGUUCUUUAACUUGAUAGCCUGGGAAAGGUGCUCAAGUCGUCGCCAUGACAGUCAUGACUUCAUCUCUUACCUUUGCUUCCUUGAUUCCCUCAUUGAUCAUGCUGAUGACGUUAAGGAGCUGCAGUCAGCCGGGGUACUCCAAAACAAUCUAGGCACGCAUGAACAAG
rnacentral:lncRNA from 1 species